rnacentral:lncRNA from 1 species
CAAAACGCUGGAAAUACCGAAUGUAUGUAUGCGUAUAUAUAUGUUAGCUCUAAGUUUCUCUUUAUCUUCUAUGUGUGUAUAUAUUGGUGUUUAAUUUUGAUCUUAAAUUAUUUCUAUCAAGUUUAAUUUUUCUUUUCCAUGUUGUUGCAGUAAAGAAGCUGUGAUUCCUAUAUGUUGCCGACGGUGCAGGUUGGCUGUGGUAGUGCCAGUGGGAAUCCCGUGUGGGAAAUAUGCUUGCCCAUCGAGGAAGGUGCAGUACGCAGCUCAUUAACGAGAAAGAUUAAGAGCUUUUAAACAUUUCAUUUUUCCCAUCGAUAUCUGGAAACCUUUGAAGAUUUGAGCAACACAAAAGAAUCAAUGUUUCAAGGGAUUUCACUUCAAUUCUGGUUGGAAGACUCCUAAGACUUUUGCAGUCUUUGAAAUUCAAAAGUUUAAGCCUCUUAAGCACUCCAAAUGAUGGAUGGACAUCUACAAUUUUAAAGUCUGGGGUAUUGAUCAGGUUUUGGGACCCUUUAAAGUUGAUCACUUUCAACUAAUAUAUGGUGUCGAAACUAAUUUUUUGAAAAAUAAAAAUUUUUAGGUUGUCGAUUUUAAAAAAUAAAAAUUGGGAGUCGCCACCAAUCUUUUAUUAAGGUGUGAUUGGGUCACCUAAAAAAUGACUUUGGUCUACAAAUUUUAGAAAAACGGGUCCGGGAGUCGGUUACGUAUGAGGAAGGAUUAGCACCCUCAUUACGCCCAAAAAUUGGUACCUAGUUAAAUAAUUAAUGUCUUAAUGUCGAAAAUUUGAAAAACGUAAUCCUUAGCAAAAAAAACUUAAAACGUUACGUAUUAAGACCCUUAUCAUUUCAGAGAAAGAAAAUACCACACCCAAUAAGUUAGGGCACGACAUUCUAAUUUUCCCCAAAAAUGAAUUAGGGCAAAAUACUAGUGUAAUAAAAAUUUAAAAGAAUAUUCAUUUAUUCAAGAUUUAAGAAAUCGCAGCCCAAUACGUUAGGGCACAAUUCCUUUAGAAUCCCAAACUCGGAAUAUUUCCUUUAUUAUUAUUUUUUAAAUAUUCAUUUCGAGAAAUCAAUGCGUCACAUCCAAUACGUUAGGACACAACGUGUUGAAUUCCCAAUAAUGAGUUCUUAUUUUUAUUUGAUUUAAAGAGCAAUCCUCGAUUGUUAGAUUUUCAAAAAAAUCGGAACUCAAUACGUUAGGGCUCAAUUUCCUUGAGAAAUUCUAAAUGCGAGUAUUAUCUCUAUUUUAAAAAGUUUGAAAUCGAGUAAAAAAAUGAUGUGAUGCUACAUUAAAUAUACAACGUAAUAAUAAAUAUUUCAAUAUCAUAGAAAUAAUAUGAAUAAAGGAAUAAAUACAUAAUUAUGACAUGCAUAAUAUUAAAUAAAUGGGCAAGAUAAUAAUAAACAAUAUGCAAGCAUAAAUUGAUAAGCAAAUAUUUGAAAUAAAUAACAAAAAAAUGCAUACAGGUACACAUAAAAUAUAUAGGUUUGCAAUGAUUAAAAUAACAUCAACGUUAAUUAAAUAAAUAAAACAAGUCUAUAUAUAUUUUAUAUAUAUAUAUAUACACGAGUAUGCGAACAAUAUUAGUUUUCAAAAAAAAAAGGGAUAAAUACAUGCUUUAGAAAAAAUACAUAUAUAUACAAAAUAAUAAUAAUUACAUAUGUGAAUUAUAAGGGAAAAAUUGUAUUAUCAAAAAAAUAUUGAUUUUUAAAGAAAAUAUGGAAAAGGGGACUAAAUUGGAUUACAAGUAAAAAUAUGGGGCAAAUCCACAAAUAAAUAAAAUCGGGAGGACAAAAUUAAACAUGCGAAUUAUAUAGAGGGGCUGGAAGGGCAAUUUUUCCUUCUCCUCUAAAAUGACACCGUUCAAAAGGAUUUAAUUGGAAUUUAAAAUAAAUUAAAGGCCGAAUUUUAAAAAAAAAACAAGAAUACUUAAUUGGAAAUAUAUAAAAAGGCGGAGGGGCCAAAAGCACAAUUUGCCCCUUCGUAUGAAAAACACGCGGUUCCUAGAUCUGGGUCGGGUUGACGCGCGGAUCCUCCCUUCAAAACGGCACCGUUUUCGAUUGGCUAUUUAAGCCAAAAUUAUAAACAAAAAUUUCAUUUUUUCAAAUCCUUCAAAAAAAACGAAAAUCUUUUUUUUUAAACUCUCAACUUCUGGGCACCAGCCUCCGGUUUAGUCAUCGGCCGGUCAACGGCCACCGCACCGGCCACCGAUCUCCAGCGCCGGCACCGCCUAAUGCGGUGGCCGAAAAAAGAAAAACCCCAAAUCUGGUCUUUUCAACACUCUUGAGCCUAGAUCUGGGCUGAAAAUUCCCAAAAUCGACUAAAAAAACCUAAAAAUGCCCUAGAAACCUUUCGGAUUCUAGCCGUCUAUCAUCGGAGACGGUCCUCUUCCUCCCCGCGGCGUUUCAAAAACAAAAGCAGGUGAUUUCUUUCCUUUUUAUUUUGUUUUAUUUUCAUACAAGUGAAAAUAAAAAAAUAAAAAUAAAAGUAAAAAAAAGAACUAAAAAAAUAAAUGUAAACCUUUAGACUGAUUUUUGCUCUCUUGGAUAUUGAACUAACUGUGUUUUGCUGCGAAAAUAAUUGUGUUUUUCUUAUUGAUUUCCAAUCCCUCUUUGCAGUAUCGUCAAUGGCUUUAUAUAGCCAUAAUAUAUAAAAAAAUAUAGAAAUAAAAUCUUGUUUACAUUGAUUUGAUUCUCAAUCUCUUGAUUUCUUUCCAUAUACUGUUUUGCUUUCUUUCCUUGUUGUGCAGGUGAAGAUCGGGGCUAAGAUUCGUGGCUGCAGCGCUUGAGGAUUUCCCUAGAACCCCUAGGGUUUCUGACUAUCGUUUUGGGCAUUUGGGCCACACAUAAUUGGACCACCGUGCUUUGGGCCCCUGUUGUAUUUUGGGUUUGGGCCAUAUAGGCCAGUUGUAAUUUGGGCCCUUUUAGGCCCUGGCAAAAUCUGUUAUUACAUAUGGGAUGUUGAAAACCAUACUUAAAAAGCAAUAAAAAAAACAUAAAACCAAACCUCAAUUUUGUUUUUACAUUUUUAUCAUUGUUGACACCAUUUUUUUGAUAAAACGGGGUCGAUUUGGGUUUUAAAAAAUGAAAACGAAUGUGGGAGUCGCCACCAAUAUUUUUUGAUGAGGUGUGAUCGGGCCACCUCAAAAAAUGGUUAUUUUAAUAAACGAUUUGAAAAAACAACGAUUUUGGUCCACGAUAAAAAAAAAGAAAAUGGGUUCGGGAGUCGGUUACGUACGAGGAAGGAUUAGCACCCUCGUAAAGCCCAAAAUUGGUACCUAGCUGAUUAAUUAGUGUCUUAGCGUCGAAAAUUAAAAAUUUUGAAAAGUUAAAAAAUAAUAAUAUUAUCCUUUAUCAAAAUUUUGAAAAAUUUAAAAGGAGAAGCAUAUUUUUAGGUUAAUCGAGAAGAAGAAUUACGUCUCGUAAGUUAGGACACAAUGUCUAAAAUUCCCGAUACGAGAAUGAAAGCCGAAAAAUUUAUUUAUUUUGAAAGAGUUCGAUUAUCUCUGGUUUAAAAAAGAGAUCAUGACCCUUGAGUUAGAACACGAUCUUUUAUUAAUUCCCAAGAACGUUUAAAAACUUUGUUUGAAAUGAUUCGUGUGUUUGAAUUUUUCGAGAAAAUCGAAAUCCCAUAAGUUAGGGUACGACUUUCUUGAGUUUCUAAAUACAGAAUGUUGCAUUAUUUUUAAAAUUUUACUUUUUUGAAUUUGAGUAAGAAUUAAUGUAAUAUAACGAGAUGUAAGUUUAAUUUAUGCAAAUAUCGUGUGAAGGCAAACAAUUAUUUCAUACAAUGUAUAGUACAAUAAUAAUGAAAUAACGUAAAAUAACUAUAUUAGUAGAAUAUAUAAAGGGUAAAUAAUAAAUCAUAAAAUACAAUAAUAAUCAUGACGUAAUUAUAAUAAUAAUCACCAAAUAAUAAUAACAAUGACCGUAUUAAUUACUAUUCUAAUACUAGAAAUAUAAAAAUGAAUUAAACACUAAUAAAAAUGAUAAUAAUAAUGAUAAUAAUAAUGAAAUGUAUAAAUAAAGGAAUAAAUAACAAUAUAAAUUCUAAACACAAGAAAAGUAAGGAAAUGGAUAAAUACAUGAAUGCAUAAAUAAAUAAAUAAAACAGAACGAAAAGAAUAAAUAAAUAAAUAAAGCUCGAAAAUAAAAGGAUAAAGGAUCAAAUUGAGGUUAAAAUAAACUUUGGAGUCUAAAUUAUAAUAAAAUGGAUAAAUAAAUAUAAAAGGGACUGGAUCAAAAUUUGAAUCGACUUUAAAGGUAUAAAUUACAAAUAAAAAAGGAAAGGGCCAACUGAAAUGCACUGGAAAAGGGCGAGGACUAUAUGGGAGAUUAUUCCCAGUCCUUUAGAGCGCACCGUUUCCGUCUGGACCGAAAAGAAACAAAAAUGAAAUUAUACCGCAAAAUGUAAAGAAAAAAAAUUUAGGACUAAAUUGCAAAGCCUCGCAAAAGCGGAAGGACCACAUGCGCAAAUAGUCCCUUCACUGCAAAAACACACGGAUCCUGAGGGCCAACGGGUUGGGUUACGGGUCAGGGCCAAAACAACGUUGAUUUGGCACCUGACCCCUAAUGUCAAAAUGGUGUCGUUUAAGUAUCAUUAUUUAACUUAAAUUUUUUUCUAAAAAAAUCAUUUUUACAAAGUGUUUUUUAAAAAAACUUUCAAAACUUCCUUCUCUCUCUCUCUCACAAUGUCCGGCCCUUAGCUUCUGGCCCCCGCCACGCUGCCUCCAUGGCCAGUGGCCGGAGUCGCGCGAAACGGGCUUUUCAGCCCUCACUUCACGGCGUCCCUGAAGGCUAGGCCUUCUCAACAGUGGGACCGAGAGAAAAAGAAAAAAAACCCCUCUAUCUGUUCGACUCCGGUGACGGAAAAGAUGGGCUCCGGUGCCGACUUUCGAAGCAAAUAGGUAUCUUCCCUUUUCCCUUUUUGUUUCAUUUUUGUUAAAAAGGGUCAUAAAAAUAAACAAACAUAAAAAAUAACGAAAAAAAUACAAGAACAGAAAAAAAUAGAAGCAGUUAAACUGGAGUCAACCUUUCUUAAAAGCUUUUGCUCUGUUUUUUCAGUAACCAGUCAUAAAAAGAAGAAGAAGAAGAAAAUACAGAAGUGGUGCUCGGCUUUUAUAGCCGAUUUGUUUCCAUUUUUUUCUAUUAUUUUGCUGCUUGCAUGUUUAUUUUUCUCCUGUAGGUGAUUGAUAAGUGUCGGUCGAUAUGACAGCGACGGUGACAGACGCGCAGCGGUGGUGGUUGGUAGGUCAAGGGUCAAAAGACCCUAGGUGCGGUGCACCUAGGGCUAGGGUUUUCAAACUCCCCCCUUUUUUUGCAUUGGACCAGUUGAGCUAUGUUGGAUUUGGUUGGGUUAGGGGUAUUGGGCUAAGCCUUUUGGUUUGGGCCCUAGGUUGUAAUUGGGUUUUGGGUAGAUGUAGGUAAUUGGUUUUAUUUGGGUACUGGGUUGGGCAAAAUGGGCUGUACAGCUGCCCCUCUUUGCUCGUUGUCGUGUAACGAGAACAGAGCAAAGACUAAGAAAGACCAAUUUUGCCCGGUCUCACCAAGUCCCAACUUAUUUUGACACUUCUCUUCUUCAAGUAGCCUUAUUCCAGUCCACUGUGUCCUAUCGCUUCAAUCUACUCCACUGCACUUCUUGUAGCUUCAAUCUUCUUCGCAGCAACUUCAGGAGGACGAGGUUUUGGUUUUAGUCUGCUCCACUACUCCACUGCGACCUCAGGGAGAUAAGGUUUGAUAUGAUAAAAUUUAAUCCUACCCUCUGCAACUUCAAAGGUAUAAGAUUCAUCGUUUUAAUCUGCUCCACUGCAACUUCAGGGAGAUAGGAUUAGUAGCUUCAGUCUGUUCCACUACAACUUCAGGGAACUAAGACUUGUAUUUUCAACCUGCCCCAGAGCAAUUUUAGGGGGGAAGGUUUGUGGCUUUAAUCUGUUCUACUACAACUUCAGGGAGAUAAGAUUUGUAGCCGGUCUUCAAUUUGUUCCACUGUAACUUCAGGGAGAUAAGGUUUGAUAUGAUCUGCUCUACUGCAACUUCAGAGAGAUAGGAUUUAUAACUUAUAGCUUUAAUCUGUUCCACCGCAACUUUAGGGAAAUAAGAUUCGCUAUCUUCAGUCUGCUCCAUUGCAACUUCAGGGAGAUGAGAUUUGUAGUUUCACUGAUCUGUUCUCUGGGGAAGCAUAACCUAUGAACUUUUGUUUAUGCCUAAAUGAUUAGGAUGUCAUGAUCAAAAUGAAUCAAAUGCUCCUAAUUAGAUGCAUUUAAAUCAGAUGCAUUCUGACACACAUGAUGAGUCGCCCUUAAAUCUGGAUACUAUGAUGAGGUUCCUAUUGGCACAGAAACAUAAGAGUUAGUAUAUAUUAUCAAAGUUGGAAUCAUAUUGUAUGGCAUCCGAAAAAUCAGAAGCAUGAAAAUCAAGAAUUCGGGGUAGCCCAACACACUAAGAGAAAUCAAAAUAAAAAUACAUACUCGUGGUUUUGUUCACUACGGAACAGGAGCAUUAUUUCGCAUAGAGCCUUCAACACCAACAAAAUUAGCAUUAGGCCCAAGUUUUUGACUAGCAUCAACCUGUCCACUAUUCGGCCCAGUAAUCUGCCUACUAAAAGGCCCAACAGAUUGGCCUACAUGUAGCCCAAAUUGCUACACAUCAUGCUCCCGCUAAUAGGACUAAACACUGACUAUCAGUUACCCAAAAUAAUGCCCAGUAUUUUGCCCAAAAACCUGACUAGUCUUCUACCCAUGAACCGACCUAAAAACCUGACCAGCAUUUGGUCCAAGACACUGCCCACGAAUCUGGCCUGCAUAAUGGGGCCUGUGUGCAAUGGAAGAAGGUAGCCCAAUGUGCUGUAUAGAACACUAGCCUACAGCAUGCCCAACACGCCUUUCAAAGAAAUCAAACGGGCCAACAGAUCCAAACCACUGACCAUUUGUGUCUCUUGCAAACUCAACCUUAUAGCCAGUUUCACCAAAAUCCAUAGCUUGCAGUUGCGGUGGAUAUUCACUCCGACUCUGAGAAGACGACCAGUCUCCCAAAAGGUCACCAGAUCCAAAACCUUGUUGUCUAUUAUGCGCAGACGGUGAAAACCUCACCGUGGUAGAAGCACUCAGACCAUCGUAAGACCAAUUAAAGCGAUAGAAGCAUCACUGCACCGUGUGACCGAACCUAUUACAAAUUUGGCACUGCAUGCGCGAACGGAAGCCACACCCUUGCAAACCUACUGUCGCACGACCUCCACUCACAUCACGUAAAACAGAAUCGACGAUUGCAGCAACAUCAGGCGAUUCAACAAGAUGAGCAUGGAUGGGAACCUCACGCGCCACUCGCACCUGUCUACUUUCAAAUUCCAUGAGAACCUCGACCAAACGCAGACAGGGAAAAGGCUACGUCGAGAACAAAGCCAAGGUCAGUAUGAUAUCAAAAUUCGAUGAGAGCCCAGCCAAAAUGACUUCCACCUUUUUAGCUUCUGACACCACCGAUCCAGAGGCUGCAAGUAAGGCACAGGUAUUUUCUAUCUUCGCAAUAUAUUCUGUGACAGUUUACUCACUCUUCUGUGUAGAAUGAAGAUCAUGCUUGAUGCGAGAAAUUUUCACACUAGUUAACGCAGCGAAAAGACGAUUUGCGGUGCUCUAGAUGUCACACGCAGAUUGAGCAGAGGUAAAACAUGGCAAAAGUGACGAGCUAAUCGUACUUAGGAGCCAAGAAGCUAACAGCUUAUCUUGUUGAUUGAACAUAGCCGCUUCUGGAUUCGGAAUAAGAGCACCUUCUGGAGACGCAAUAAACCGAGACGGAACAGACAGCGUACCUUCCAAGAAACCUUGCAGCUCAUAUCCCUCUAUUAUUAAUCGGAAAUGUUGCUGCCAUUGAACAAAGUUUUCUCCCUCUAGUUUCACCGUGUCAUGACGGGGGAAAGAUUGGACCAGGCGUUGACUAGAAAAUGCCGGACUCAUAGGAUCAGCAAAAUUAGAAUCGGCUGAUGGUGCCAUAACACAACAACGGAAGCACGUACUAGGACUAGGCGACUGAUACCAUGUAAGAUACUACUCGAAAUAUGUAUAAACAGAAAAAUGAAGUAUAGAAGAAUUCUUUAGUCUUAUGCUAUCUAGUUGAAUGAAUACACUGAUGAGGUUUUAUACAAAUAUGAUAACCAACUGCCUAAUGAACUGCUUAACAAAUUUUGUAACAACCUAUCAAACUAACCAUCGUAACAACUGUUUAACACUCACGCACAAAAGAUUUUCUAAUUGAAUAUUAGUGCAUACUUUAUAUUCAUAUUUGAAUAAAUAUUAAAAAUAAAUGUCUAAACAUAAAUAUUUUAUAAAAAAAAUAAACUGAGGAGUUGGAAUAAUAUUAUUUGUAUUUCAAGUAGUGAAAUUUAAAUGAUACUUUAUUAGAAGGGAUUAAAUCUAUUUAAGUAGCUUUAAAGAUUUAUAUUUAAUCUUUCAAAUAUAUAAAAACAGUUUUGACUAAUUAAAUUGAACACAUAAAUUGGUCUCCAAUAAAAAUAAAAUGAUUUUUAACUCAGUUGAAAUUAUGAUCAAUCCUUAUUAAAGGACUCUCAUUUUAUCAUUACUUGCUUCGCCUCCAUUUUUGUCUCACAAUUUUGUUUUAAUUUGCUUCAUCUUCAACCUACAAAUAAAAUAUAGAUGUAAGUGAAAAUAUAUAGUGGAAAUAAAAUUUUAAUAAAAAAAAAGGUGAAACCAAUCAAAAUAUACACAUUCGAUAAGUGACUAAAAUUUUAAAUGGUAUAAAAAACAAUGUUAUCAACAUUUGAGAUAUGUAGAUGUUGAAUAUGAAUAUGAAUAAAAUUUUUUAAAAUGUUUUGGCAUAUAAUGGAAGGAUCAUAUCUCAUAUGCAAAACAAGUCUAGAAUAAUUGUUUAAAUGGAAUACAAGAUGUGUAAAAAUACAAUUAAUAGGACGAAGUUUGUUAAGUAGUUUACCACAGUUAAUGCUUCUUUCUUGAUUGGCCCUUUACAAAAUUGAAAAAUUUUUGCAUCCGUUUUGGUUGCGGCUCUUCUUCCUCUGUUUCCUCAUAGAUAUUACGUUUUCGUUUUAUGUGAGAAGUGCUACCUACUGAUCCAUGGUUGUGAGCAGAGUGUUGGUGGAUGUGUUCAAAAUUUGGAGAAGAUUGGCUGGUAUCGCACUACAACUCUUUCAUUUCUUCCAAAUCUUUCUCAUACACUAUUCUAACACCACACUUCUUCACCUUAACACAACGGUCAUUUGGUCCAAAUUCGGUAUUGAAACACAACUCAAGCUCAUCGCCUAUUUCAGCUAGCAAUCUGCUGUCCAUAAAUUAUUGGUUUCACAGUCACCAUAUUUAUCCUCCAAGGAAAUUGGAUAUGAUUCAUCACGCGGAAAAUAACGAAGAAAAAGGUGAUCUUUCAUUAUGGGCCUGUCAAAGUAUCGACCUACCCACUGGUUUCUCCAAUAAAUUGGUCGACAAUUUCUACCUCGAAAAAUAGAUCCUUUACAUCCGAUAUACCUAUCCCUUGAAGCAUCAUUAUUGACAAAAAUGCAGCAACAAGCAACUCCAAUCCAUUGACUAUCUUUCCGAAGGUUGAUAGGUAGGGGUAUCUUAAUUGAAGAGUCACGUUUUUGUUGGCUAAACCAUUCUGGAAUUUCACUUCCUGGCAUCAAAAUAUCAAAGAUGCCAUCAUUAAACCAUUUUCUAGAAUUUGGAAAUGCCUGCAAAAUAAAACACAAGUCGUUUGGUAACUAAAACCAUAAAUUCUCAAGUAUGAGAUUUUGUAAGGGAGAAAAAAUACAUUAAUAAACCUUAAUAUGUGCUUUCAGCAGUGCUACUGCAUUGAUUUUCUCAGCCAAUUUGAAGCAGUUAAUGGCAUCAAUGCUUUCACUUCCCACUAAAUUGCAUACUUUUGAUGGACUUGCAACUACUUCAAGUGAAGAACAAUCAUCUAUUGUCACACUUCCUAUAGUUGUUGGUAGCUCAGGCAACGAUUUAAGCAUCUUGCAACCUGACAAUUGAAGCAAGUUGAGCCCGGAAAGUUGAGUAAGAGCCAAAGGAAUGCUGGUGAAAUUGUUACCAAUAAGAUUAAGAUAACUCAAAGAGGAUAGACCAGAAAUAUCACUAUGAGUAUCUGCUUCACCAAGAGUGCACAUGUUGCAAUUAGACAAUUCAAGAUACGUAAGCUUUGAGAGUCGAGUAAGAGAUGCAGGUAUGCGGAUGAAAUUCUUACCACUAAGAUUAAGAUAACUCAAAGAGGAUAGACCAGAAAUAUCACUAUGAGUAUCUGCUUCACCAAAAGUGCACAUGUUGCAAUUUGACAUUAAUAUAAGAUUUGCAAGCUUCGAGAGUCGAGUAAGAGAUGCAGGUAUGCUGAUGAAAUUAUUACCACUAAGAUCAAGAGAUACCAAAGAGGAUAGACCAGAAAUAUCAGGUGGAAUAUCUCCUUCACAGAGAUUGCAGUCCCUUAGAUUCAACUCUCUUAAUGAACUCAAACCUGACAACAAAGGCAACAUCCGAGCCAUGGGAUUCGUCCUUCUUCCUUGGAUUACCUUGAAAAGAGAAGGCAAAUUUGGUAGUAACUUAUAUGAUGGUCCCUUGCGCCCAUUGAAAGACAGAACUUUCAGAUUUUUAAAGUGAAAAAUGAAGGAUGGUGGUUCUGUUAUGGCUGUUUCACUCAAGUCGAGCUCUUCCAAAAACUUUGCUUGCUGCAAAUUCUCCGAUAAAUUUUCCACUCUAUAACAACCGGAAAGAUAUAGAGUUUUUAGACGUUCCAUUUUCCCAUCAAUCUCCGGAAACCUUACAAGACUUGAGCAGCCCGAAAGAAUUAAUGUUUCAAGAGAUUCCAUUCCAAUUUUGGUUGGAAGAGUCCUAAGACUUUUGCAAUCUCUUAAAUUAAAAAGUUUAAGGCUCUUAAGCACCCCGAUUGAUGGAUGAACAUCCACUAAUUUGGUACAACCUUCCAAAAUCAAAACUUCAAGAUUUGAUGCUGUUGUGAAGUCUGGUGUCUUGAUCAGGUUUUGAGACCCUCUGAGGUUCAUUAUUUUCAAGUUAAACAAGGGCUGUUGAAGACCAUAAUCAAUUAGAAACACAUGAGAAAACAUAAUAAUGCUCAUUUUUGUUUUUUUUGUUUUACCUUAAUCAAAGUUUAAUAAUUUAUAUUAAAAUAAGCUAAAACACAAGGAUAAGAUGAGUUAAUUCUUACUCUAUUUCCCUUCCAUAGUUGUUGAAUGUGACUAUAUGGUAAAAGAAGUGCGACAAGAUUGUCCGGUUGAAAGCUUGAAGGUAAGUUUUUUAGAGGGUAUCCUGUCCAAUCUAAAAGCCGUAGUUCAUUAGAAAGAUAUUUGAGAUCAUCACAAUUUGAAAGGCAAAGCACUUUCAGUAGUCUCAGUUUUUUCAUCUUCAAGAAGGCAUCCACACUCAAAUUGAGCAUCUUUUUCAAUUCCCUAAUAUCCAUGAGCGAAACAAAAAUGAGCUUCAAAAUAUAUAAAAACAUUCAAUAUCUAAAAGAAAUGUUGCAUCAAUAUUGUUUUUUAAGUACUCGUAUCCAAUACUUGUUCGUAUAUGAGUAUAAAGAUAUGAUCCUUUAAGAACCUUUCAAAUACGUGAAAAAAAUAAAUUUUAAUUUUUUUUUUGAAUAUAGCCAUAUUAAAGAGAUACUUAUAUCUAACAAUCGCAUCCGAUGUUAAAUUACCUAAUCAUAAAAAAAUGAAUUAAUAUGUUGAUUUAUAUUUAGUCCGCAAACAAUGCAUAAUUUACAAGUUAAUGAACCAAACAAUGACACAUAAUUAAAAAUGAAACCAUUUUCAUUAAAAAAAAAUUAUUACAUGUUAUAAUCUAAUUCGUUGAUAUACACUUUUAGUACAUUAAAUAUAUACCAUUAAUUUUCACAAAAAAAUAUACCAUUAAUAUUUCAAAAAUACAUACAUUUCUCUUUUGAUUCUUUUGAAAAAGUAAAUAUGUUGCUAGAUAAAUUUCAUAAUUAAACAUUGAAAUAUUGAAUGUCAAAAGUUUUGCUAUAGUUUUUUUAUCAUAUUUAAAAAUAAUAAUUAUUUACAGUACACAUAGAUAUAAGUUUAUGUGUGUCUUCCUACCUUUUAUUAUCGAUGAUUAUGCCUUCAAUCGUUUCUGUAGCCUAAAAAAGAUUAAGAACAGACAAUAAGAAAAUAAAAUAAAUGGUGAAUAAUGUAGGAUAGAAAAGAAAUAGUAUGUGACUUUUGUUGAAUGACUUACAGUGUUUUUUGUUAGGACAUGAUGGACGUCCCCUCCCUCCCACAAUCUGCAACGUUUUCCAGGUUCAUCAACACAUUUUUCUUUAACAAUUGUUCUUCCCAUUUCUUGCAACAAGCUAUGCAUCCACAAAUAUUGGUUGCCAUCAUCGACUUUUAUUAAAGAUUUCUUAAUGAGAACAUCAAUUCCAAUAUCGGGGAAAAGCUCACAACUAUCUAAUACUUUCAUUACAAAAUCUUUCUUCUCCCCAUUAAAGAAGCACGCUAUAUCUAAAAAUAUAUUCUUCUCCCUUUCUUCCAGUCCAUCAAAACUGAUUCGAAGUUUAUCGAGAAUUUCUUUAUUAGAAUCUCUUUUAAGUCUUUCAAUCGCACUCCUCCAUUGAGUCGCAUCCCUACCGCACAAAAAGGAACCAAAAACUUCAAGAGCUAAAGGGAGUUCACCAGCAUAAUUUACAACAUGUUUAGAAAGCUCAAUGAAAUCAUCUUUCUGCACUGUAUCACUAUGAAAAGCUUUCAGACUGAAAAGUUGAAGCGCAUCUUUGGGAUUCAGUGUUGUGGCCGUAUACACAUCAUUAACUUGGCAACAUCGAAGCAAAUGUUCGUCUCUUGUUGUUACAAUGAUUCUACUCCCUAAUCCGAACCAAUCAUGCCUUCCAACCAUGCAUUUUAGGUGUUGUAUGUUAUCAACAUUAUCAAGAACAACAAGAACCUUUUUGUGAGACAACCUAUGGCUAAUUAUUUUAUUUCCUUCAUGAACAUUGAAAAAGUUGAAGCAUUCACCAUGAAAGAUUUGUGAAAGAAGUUGUUUCUGUAAAGAAACUAGUCCGCAUUUGUCUGAAACUUCUCGAAUAUCAGCAAUAAAGCUUUUACCUUCAAAAUGAGGUGACAUUUGAGUGUAAGCAACUCUUGCGAGUGUCGUUUUACCGAUGCCACCCAUUCCGCAAAUUCCUAUAACGCGGACAUCAUCUUCCCCAAUGUUUAUUUUCAAAUACAAAUCCUCCAAGCGUUCACUAAUACCAACCAAGUCGCUAUGAGUAAUUGGAUAUGUCUGACAUAGUUUUGCCGAUAUCUUCUUAACAAUGUCUCUAAUAAAUUCUGAUUCAUGCCUAAAAAAAAAAAAAGAAAAUUUAAUGUUUUGAGUAAAAUUUUGUUGAUAUGUUUCGAAUGCACUUUCUUUUUCAAUGAAUCAUGAAACAUAAUAUAGUUUGGAAGCAAACAAGUACCAAGAAAAAGAAAGCAAGAUCAGUUGCGGAGCCAGAAGACAAAAUUUGCUCUUUUAUUGAAAUAUGACACUUUUCAAUUAAACACAUUGGAUUAGGGGAAAAAAAAAGUUAUACAUACAUACAUAUAUAUAUAUAUCCAAAAAACUAGAAAAUAGAGAAGAAAAGAAAGAAUUACCUGUUAUUUAAAUGCCAUCCCUUGACUGCAGCCACUUGAAUUAAAGCAUUUCGCCACCUUUGGAUCUUCUCACUUUCUUCUUUGUAUCUCUCUUCAUGUCUGGCAAAGGCUUCUUCCACUUUCCCUUUUUGUUUUCUUAAAUCAGAUGGAUCAACAUCGUAAAAAAUUGGAAACAUUUUAUGGCCGUCGUUGUUAUGUUGUUUAACAAUCUCAGCAAGCUCCUCCAAGCACCAACUUGAAAAGGCAUAAGUUUGUGAAAAAACGAUUACCGAGCACCAUGAUUGCUGAAUUGCUUUAAAGAGUUCUGGCGCGAUCUCUUCACCGGCCUCCAGCUUUGGAUCAUCCCUGAAAGUGACGAUCCCACUCCUCUUUAGAGCAGCAUAGAGAUGAUCGGUGAAGUUUUUGCGAGUAUCUUCACCUCUAAAACUCAAGAAAACAUCAUAUAUCUUUUUAGAAAUGGAGGAAGAAGUUGAAGGGAACGACAACAUGAGGAUGUAUGAAAGGAGAAGGAUAUCUCAAUCUGGUGUUCAAAAUCAGAAAAUAGAUUGCCCAAUAUCCACAAAGAAACUAGAAAAAGUAAGUAUAUGAGCAUAGGGGUCAAAGAUGAGCGAUGGAUGUUGUUUCCAAGAAGGUGAUAGUUGGCAAAGUGGAGUCUACUUUAAUUACAAGUAAUAAUUAAAAAUGUUGGACGGUUUGUAUUUUACGUAUUUAAUAAUUAGCAAUGUUAAUGGAUUGAUGUUCUCAGCCAAUCUGUAGCAGUCAGUGGCUCUAAGGCAAUCAAUGCCGGUUGGGCAGGCCAAACACGCUAAAUUUAAGAUUUUUAGAUUGAAAAGUGAAGUAUGGUGGCUCUGUUAUGGCUGUUUCACUUAAAUCGAGUUCUUCUAAAAACUUCGCUUGCUGCAAAUUCUCUGGUAAAUUUUCAACUCUAUAAUAACCAGAAAGAUUAAGAGUUUUUAAACAUUUUAUUUUUCCCAUCGAUAUCUGGAAACCUUUGAAGAUUUGAGCAACACGAAAGAAUCAAUGUCUCAAGGGAUUUCACUUCAAUUCUGGUUGGAAGACUCCCAAGACUUUUGCGGUCUUUGAAAUUCAAAAGUUUAAGCCUCUUAAGCACUCCAAAUGAUGGAUGGACAUCUACAAUUUUAAAGUCUAGGGUAUUGAUCAGGUUUUGGGACCCUUUAAAGUUGAUCACUUUCAACUAAUAUAUGGGCUGUUGAAAACCAUACUUAAAAAGCAAUAAAAAAACAUAAAACCAAACCUCAAUUUUGUUUUUAUAUUCUUAUCAUUGUUGACACCAUUUUUUUUUUGAUAAAAUGGGGUCGAUUCGGGUUUUAAAAAAUGAAAACGAAUGUGGGAGUCACCACUAAUCUUUUUUGAUGAGGUGUGAUCGGGCCACCUCGAAAAAUAGUUAUUUUAAUAAACGAUUUGAAAAAAUAAUGAUUUUGGUCCACGAUAAAAAAAAGAAAAUGGAUUCGGGAAUCGGUUACGUACGAUGAGGGAUUAGCACAUUCGUAACGCCCAAAAUUGGUAUUUAGCUGAUUAAUUAGUGUCUUAACGUUGAAAAUUGAAAAUUUUGAAGAGUUAAAAAAAAAAAGAAAAAUAAUACGAUCCUUUAUCAAAAUUUUGAAAAAUUUAAAAGGAGAAGCAUAUUUCCAAGUUAAUCGAGACGAAGAAUUACGUCCAGUAAGUUAGGACACAAUGUCUAAAAUUCCCGAUACGAGAAUGAAAGCCGAAAAAUUUAUUUAUUUUGAAAGAGUUCGAUUAUCUCGGGUUUAAAAAAGAGAUCAUGUCCCGUGAUUUAGAACACGAUCUUUUAUUAAUUCCUGAGAACAUUUAAAAACUUUGUUUGAAAUGAUUCGUGUGUUUGAAUUUUUCGAGAAAGUCGAAACCCCGUAAGUUAAGGUACGACUUUCUUGAGUUUCUAAAUACAGAAUGUUGUCUUAUUUUGAAAAUUUUCCUUUUUUGAAUUUAAGUAAGAAUUAAUGUAGUAUAACAAGAUGUAAGUUUAAUUUAUGCAAAUAUUGUGUGAAGGCAAACAAUUAUUUCAUACAAUGUAUAGUACAAUAAUAAUGAAAUAACAUAAAAUAACUAUAUUAGUAGAAUAUUUAAAGGGUAAAUAAUAAAUCAUAAAAUACAAUAAUAAUCAUGACGUAAUUAUAAUAAUAAUCCCCAAAUAAUAAUAACAAUGACCAUAUUAAUUACUAUUCUAAUACUAGAAAUAUAAAAAUGAAUUAAACACUAAUAAAAAUGAUAAUAAUAAUAAUAAUGAUAAUAAUAAUGAAAUGUAUAAAUAAAGGAAUAAAUAACAAUAUAAAUUCUAAACACAAGAAAAGUAAGGAAAUGGACAAAUACAUGAAUGCAUAAAUAAAUAAAUAAAACAGAACGAAAAGAAUAAAUAAAUAAAUAAAGCUCGAAAUUAAAAGGAUAAAGGAUCAAAUUGAGGUUAAAAUAAAAUUUGGAGUCUAAAUUAUAAUAAAAUGGAUAAAUAAAUAUAAAAGGGACUGGAUCGAAAUUUGAAUCAACUUUAAAGGUAUAAAUUACAAAUAAAAAACGAAAGGGCCAACUGAAAUGCGCUGGAAAAGGGCGAGGACUAUGUGGGAGAUUAUUCCCAGUCCUUUAGAGUGCACCGUUUCCGUUUGGACCGAAAAGAAACAAAAAUGAAAUUAUACCGCAAAAUGUAAAGAAAAAAAAUUUAGGACUAAAUUGCAAAGCCACACAAAAGUAGAAGGACCACAUGCGCAAAUAGCCCCUUCACAGUAGAAACACGCAGAUCCUAAGGGCCAACAGGUCGGGUCACGUGUCAAGGCCAAAACGACGUCGUUUUGGCACUUAACCCCUAAUGUCAAAACGACGCUGUAUAAGUAUCAUUAUUUAACUUAAUUUUUUUUCUAAAAAAAUCAUUUUUACAAAGUUUUUUAAAAAAAAAAUUCAAAACUUCCUUCUCUCUCUCUCUCACAAUGUUCGGCCCUUAGGUUCUAGCCUCUGCCGCGCUGUCUCCAUGGCCAGUGGUCGGAGUCGCGCGAAACGAGCUUUUCAGCCCUUACUUCACGGCGUCCUUGAAGGCUAGGCCUUCUCAACAGUGGGACCGAGAGAAAAAGAAAAAAAAACCCUUUCCCUGUUCGACUCCGGUGACGGUGAAGAUGGGCUCCGGCACCGGCUUUCGAAGCAAACAGGUAUCUUCCCUUUUCCCAUUUUGUUUCGUUUUUGUUAAAAAGGGUCGUAAAAAUAAACAAACAUAAAAAAUAAUAAAAAAUAAAGAAAAAAUACAAGAACAGAAAAAAAUAGAAGCAGUUAAACUGGAGUCAACCUUUUUUAAAAGCUUUUGCUCUGCUUUUUCAUUAACCAGUCGUAAAAAAAAUGUAUAUAUAUAGAAGUGGUGCUCGAAUUUUAUGGCCGAUUUGUUUCCAUUUUUUCUAUUAUUUUGCUACUUGUGUGUUUAUUUUUCUCCUGUAGGUGAUUGAUAGGCGCCGGUCCACAUGAUAGCGGCGGUGACAGACGCGCGGCGGUGGCGGUUGGUAGGUCAAGGGUUAGAAGACCCUAGGUACGGCGCACCUAGGGUUAGGGUUUUUAGACUCCCCCCUUUUUUUUUGCAUUGGGUCAUUUGGGUUGUGUUGGAUUUGGUUGGGUUAGGGGUAUUGGGCUGAGUCUUUUGGUUUGGGCCCCAGGUUGUAAUUGGGUUUUGGGUAGAUGUGGGUAAUUUGGUUUAUUUGGGUACUGGGCCAGGCAAAAUAGGCUGUACAGCUACCCCUCUUUGCUCGUUGUCGUGUAACGAGAAUAGAGCAAAGACUAAGGAAGACCAAUUUUGCCUGGUCUCACCAAGUCCCGACUUCUUUUGACACUUCUCUUCUUCAAGUAGCCUUAUUCCAGUCCACUGUGUCCUAUCGCUUCAAUCCACUCCACUGCACUUCUUGUAGCUUCAAUCUUCUUCGCAGCAACUUUAAGAGGAUGAGGUUUUGGCUUUAGUCUGCUCCACUACUCCACUGUGACCUCAGGGAGAUAAGGUUUGAUAUGAUAAAAUUUAAUCCGACCCUCUACAACUUCAAAGGUAUAGGAUUCAUCGUUUUAAUCCGCUCCACUGCAACUUCGGGGAGAUAGGAUUAGUAGCUUCAGUCUGCUCCACUGCAACUUUAGGGAAGUAAGGCUUGUAUUUUCAACCUGCCCCACGGCAAUUUCAGGGGGGAAUGUUUGUGGCUUUAAUCUGCUCUACUGCAACUUCAGGGAGAUAAGGUUUGAUAUGAUCUGCUCUACUGCAACUUCAGAGAGAUAGGAUCUGUAACUUAUAGCUUCAAUCUGUUCCACCGCAACUUCAGGGAAAUAAGAUUCACUAUCUUCAGUCUGCUCCACUACAACUUCAGGGAGAUGAGAUUUGUAGUUUCACUGAUCUAUUCUCUAGGGACGCAUAACCUAUGAACUCUUGUUUAUGCCUAAAUGAUUAGGAUGUCAUUAUCAAAAUGAAUCAAAUGCUCCUAAUUAGAUGCAUUUAAAUCAGAUGCAUUCUGACACACAUGAUGAGUUGCCCUUGAAUCUGGAUACUAUGAUAAGGUUCCUAUUGGCCAGGAACACACGAGUUAGUAUAUAUUAUCAAAGUUGGAAUCAUAUUGUGUGGCAUCCGAAAAAUCAGAAGCAUGAAAAUCAAGAAUUCGGGGUAGCCCAACACUCUAAGAGAAAUCAAAAUAAAAAACACGUACUCGUGUUUUGUUCGCUACGGAACAGGAGCAUUAUUUUGCAUAGAGCCUUCAACACCAACAAAAUUAGCAUUAGGCCCAAGUUUUUGAAUAGCAUCAACCUGUCCACUAUUCAGCCCAUUAAUCUGCCUACUAAGAGGCCCAACAGACUGGCCUGCAUGCAGCCCAAAUUGCUGCACAUCAUGCUUCCGCUAAUAGGACUAAAACACUGACUAUUAGUUGACCCAAAAUAAUGCCCAGUAUUCUGCCCAAAAACCUGACUAGUCUUCUACCCAUGAACCGACCUAAAAACCUGACCAGCAUUUGGUCCAAGACACUGCCCACGAAUCUAGCCUGCAUAAUGGGGCCUGUGUGCAACCGAGGAAGGCAGCCCAAUGUGUUGUACAGAGCACUGGCCCACAGCAUGCCCAACACGCCUUUCAAAGAAAUCAAACGGGCCAACAGAUCCAAACCACUGUCCAUUUGUGUCUUCUGCAAACUCAACCAAUAGCCAGUUUCACCAAAAUUCGUAGCUUGCAGUUGUGGUGGAUAUUCACUCCGACUCUGAAAAGACGACCAGUCUGCCAAAAGGUCACCAGAUCCAAAACCUUGUUGUCUAUUAUGCGCAGACGGUGAAAACCUCACCGUGGUAAAAGCGUUCAGACUAUCGUAAGACCAAUUAAAGCGAUAGAAGCAUCGCUGCACCAUGUGAUCGAACCUAUUACAGAUUUGGCACUGCACGAGCGAACAGAAGCCAUGCCCUUGCAAACCUACUGUCGCACGGCCUCCACGCACAUCACGUGAAACAGAAUCAACGAUCGCAGCAACAUUAGGUGUUUCAACAGGAUGAGCAUGGAUGGGAACCUCACGCGCCACUUGCACCUGUCUACUUUCAAAUUCCAUGAGAACCUCGACCAAACGCAGAAAGGGAAGAGGCUCCGUCGAGAACAAAGCCAAGGUUAGUACGAUAUCAAAAUCCGAUGAGAGCCCAGCCAAAAUGACUUCCACCAUUUUAGCUUCUGACACCACCGAUCCAGAGGCUGUAAGUAAGGCACAAGUAUUUUCUAUCUCCGCAAUAUAUUCUGUGACAGUUAACUCACCCUUCUUUGUAGAAUGAAGAUCAUGCUUGAUGCGAGAAAUUUUCACACUAGUUGACGCAGCAAAAAGACGAUUUGCGGUGCUCUAGAUGUCACACGCAGAUUGAGUAGAGGUAAAACAUGACAAAAGUGACGAACUAAUCGUACUUAGGAGCCAAGAAGCUAAUAGCUUAUCCUGUUGAUUGAACGUAGCCACUUCUGGAUUCGGAAUAAGAGCACCUUCUGGAGACGCAAUAAAUCGAGACGGAGCAGACAGCGUACCUUCCAAGAAACCUUGCAGCUCAUAUCCCUCUAUUAUCAAUCGGAUAUGUUGCUGCCAUUGAACAAAGUUUUCUCCCUCUAGUUUCACCGUGUCAUGACGGGGGAAAGAUUGGACCAGGCGUUGACCAGAAAACGUCGGACUCAUAGGAUCAGCAAAGUUACAAUCGACUGAUGGUGCCAUAACACAACAACGGAAGCACGUACCAGGACUAGGCGACUGAUACCAUAUAAGAUACUACUCGAAAUAUGUAUAAACAGAAAAAUGAAGUAUAGAAGAAUUCUUUAGUCUUAUGCUAUCUUGUUGAAUGAAUACACUGAUGAGGUUUUAUACAAAUAUGAUAACCAACUGCCUAAUGAACUGCUUAACAGAUUUUGUAACAACCUAUCAAACUAACCAUCGUAACAACUGUUUAACACUCACGCACAAAAGAUUUUCUAAUUGAAUAUUAGUGCAUACUUUAUAUUCAUAUUUGAAUAAAUAUUAAAAAUAAAUGUCUAAAGAUAAAUAUUUUAUAAAAAAAAUAUAAACUGAGGAGUUGGAAUAAUAUUAUUUGUAUUUCAAGUCGUGAAAUAUAAAUGAUACUUUAUUAGAAUGGAUUAAAUCUAUUUAAGUAGCUUUAAAGAUUUAUAUUUAAUCUUUCGAAUUUAUAAAAAAACAGUUUUGACUGAUUAAAUUGAACACUUAAAUUGGUCUCCAAUAAAAAUAAAAUGAUUUUUAACUCAGUUGAAAUUAUGGUCAAUCCUUAUUAAAGGACUCUCAUUUUAUCAUUACUUGCUUCGUCUUUAUUUUUGUCUCACAAUUUUGUUUUAAUUUGCUUCAUCUUCAACUUACAAAUAAAAUAUAGAUGUAAGUGAAUAUAUAUAGUGGAAAUAAAAUUUUAAUAAAAAAAGGUGAAACUAAUCAAAAUAUACACAUUCGAUAAGUGACUAAAACUUUAAAUGGUAUAAAAAAUAAUGUUAUCAACAUUUGAGAUAUGUAGAUGUUGAAUAUGAAUAUGAAUAAAAUUUUUUAAAAUGUUUUGGCAUAUAAUGGAAGGAUCAUAUCUCAUAUGCAAAACAAGUCUAGAAUAAUUGUUUAAAUGGAAUACAAGAUGUGUAAAAAUACAAUUAAUAGGACGAAGUUGGUUAAGUAGUUUACCACAGUUAAUGCUUCUUUCUUGAUUGGCCCUUUACAAAAUUGAAAAAAUUUUGCAUCCGCUUUGGUUGCGGCUCUUCUUCCUCUGUUUCCUCAUAGAUAUUACGUUUCCGUUUUAUGUGAGAAGUGCUACCUACUGAUCCAUGGUUGUGAGCAGAGUGUUGGUGGAUGUGUUCAAAUUUUGGAGAAGAUUGAGAGGUAUGACACUGCAACUCUUUCAUUUCUUCCAAAUCUUUCUCAUACACUAUUCUAACGCCACACUUCUUCACCUUAACACAACCAGAAUUUGGUCCAAAUUUGGUAUUGAAACACAACUCAAGCUCAUCGCAUAUUUGAUAUAAGCAGUCUGUUGUGCAUAAAUUAUUGGUUUCACAGUCACCAUAUUUAUCCUCCAAGGAAAUUGGAUAUAAUUCAUCACGCGGAAAAUAACGAAGAAAAAGGUGAUCUUUCAUUAUGGGAUUGUGAAAGGAUAGACCUAUCCACCGAUUUCUCAAACAAAUUAGUCGACAGUUUUUACCUCGAAAAAUAGAUCCUUUACAGCUGAUAAACUCAUUAUUCCAUGAAGCAUCAUUAUUGACAAAAAUGCAGCAACAAGCAACUUCAAUCUAUUGACUAUCUUUCCGAAGGUUGAUAGGUAGGGGUAUCUUAAUUGAAGAGUCACUUUUUUGUUGGCUAAACCAUUCUAGAAUUUCAAUUUUCGGGCAUCAUAAUAUCAAAGACGCCAUCAUUAUACAAUUUUCUAGAAUUUGGAAGUGCCUGCAAAAUAAAACACGAGUCGUCUGGUAACUAAAACCAUAAAUUCUCAAGUAUGAGAUUUUGUAAGGCAGAAAAAAAAAUAGAUUAAUAGACCUUAAUAUGUUCUUUCAGUAGUGCUACUGCAUUGAUUUUCUCAGCCAAUUUGAAGCAGUUAACAGCACGAAUGCUUUCACCACCCACUAAGUUGCAUACUUUUGAUGGACUUGCAACUACUUCAAGUGAAGAACAAUUAUCUAUUGUCACACUUCCUAUACUUGUUGGUAGCUCAGGCAACGAUUUAAGCAUCUUGCAACCUGACAAUUUAAGCAAUUUGAGCCUGGAAAGUUGUGAUGAAGUUGGUUCAGCAUGCAGCAAACUCGACAACAUGCAGGCCAUGAAGACCAAGACAUGCAAGAGCUGCUAAUGCAAGCUUAUUUUGUUUAUUUUGUAAUUUCUAGUCAAUGAAAUGUAAUCUUAGUUCAUUUCUAACUAAGUUAGAUUGUUGACUGAUGUAAUUAGCUUAUGUAUGAGCUGUAAACACAACUUUGUAUAGGUUUACAAGCUAAAAUUUCAAGUUUCCAUGUAAUUAGUAGGAGUAGGUGAUGUUUAGGUAAUUACUUGCUUUUUUUGACAAGCUUAGUGCUUGUUUUAUGUAUUGGCAUUAUGCCAUUAUUCAAUUAGAUGAAUGAAGUUCAGUUUGUUCAUCAUUAUUCCUCUUCAUUUUUCUUAGUUUUUCUUCCUUUCUUCUGCUCGAAUUCUCUUGUUUGCUCAGCAAGUCUCGAGACUUGGUCGACAAGUCUGUGCUGUGUCUGUUAGUUUCAGUUACAGCACCAACAAUUGGUAUCAGAGCCUAUUUUUUAAGGGACCUGUUAUACAAAUACAUGGCGUCAUCAAACUUUUCACCAGCUGCACCUCAAGUCUUCAAUGGAGAAGGCUAUCACAUAUGGGUGGUCAAAAUGAAGACCUACCUGCAGGCAUACGAUCUGUGGGAGGUGGUCAACUCAGAUGUUGAACCAGAACCACUUAGAGGCAAUCCAACAGUGGCUCAAAUCAGGCAGCAUGCUGAUGAGAGGACCAAGAGGCACAAAGCCAUGUCUUGCAUCCAGAACUCAGUGUCUGAUGUGAUUUUCACAAGGAUUAUGGCCUGUGAAUCACCAAAAUAGGCCUGGGACAAGUUGCAGGAAGAGUUUCAAGGGACAGAGAGGACAAGGCAGCAACAGUUGUUGAACUUGAGGAGAGAUUUCGAGAAUUUGAAGAUGAAGGAAGAAGAAACUGUCAAGCAAUAUUCUGACAGGAUUAUGGCUGUGGUUAACAGCAUCAGGCUCCUUGGAGAGCAGUUCAAUGAAGCUAGGAUAGUGGAGAAGGUUAUAGCAACUCUGCCUGAGAGGUAUGAGGCAAAAAUCUCAUAUCUCGAGGACUCAAGGGAUCUGUCCACCAUCUCCCUGACAGAGUUGAUCAAUGCUCUAUAUGCUCAAGAGCAGAGAAGAGCAAGCAGACUGGAGGAGCACCAAGAAAGUGCCUUUCAAGCAAGAACAAAUACUGCCUACAAAGGCAAGAAAGCCUGGAGAGACAAACCAAAGAAUGAUGCUGCAAGGAGAGAAGGUCAGACUUGCAAGCACUGCAGAAGGGUUGGUCAUCCAGAAGAAAAGUGCUAGUUUAAUCCAGAAGCUGUAUGUCAGCAUUGUAAGAAGAAGGGUCAUGUUGAGAGAGUCUGCAAGAGUAAGACCAAAUCGAGGCAGAAUCAGUUUCAACAGAUGAAAGCUGAGGCUCGAGUAGCUAAGGAGGACAGUGACCAAGAGGAGCAAGUCUUUGCUGUGUCAUGCUCAGCUGCUCAGGAAAGGUCCUCAUCUGGUUGGCUCCUAGACAGUGGAUGCACCAACCACAUGACACCUGAUGCUGCAAUCUUCAAGUCUUUAGACAGAAGCUGCAGAACUAAAGUCAAGAUAGGAAAUGGUCAUUUUAUUCAAGCUGAAGGCAAGGGUGAUGUGCUGAUAUGCACUCUUACAGGUACCAAAGUGAUUUCAAAUGUGCUGUUGGUGCCUGAAAUUGACAGAAACCUGCUCAGCAUAGCUCAGUUGCUGGAAAAAGGUUAUUCUGUUGUGUUUAAAGACCACCAGUGCCAAAUCAGUGAUCCAAGUGGAUCCAAACUGAUGGCAGUCCCUAUGGCUGAUAAGAGCUUUGUGGUUGACUAGACAAAGAAGUCAGACACUACCUACACAGCCACAUCAGAUGAAUCCAAGCCGUGGCAUCAAAGACUGGGAUAUGCCAACUUCAGAUUGAUGGCCCGAAUGGUCAGAGAGGAUCUGGCUGAAAAUUUCAUCAACUCAGUGGACCAUGAUGAUGUAUGUAAAGUAUGUCAACUAGGAAAGCAGGCCAGACUCCCAUUUCCCUCGAAUCAAGCCUAGAGAGCCUUGAAAAACUCCAACUGGUGCAUACUGAUGUGUGUGGCCCUAUGAAGACUGAGUCAUUAAGUGGAAACAUGUAUUUUAUACUGUUCAUUGAUGAUUUUUCAAGAUAUUGCUGGAUUUACUUCUUAAAACAAAAAUCAGAGGUGGCCUCAGUGUUUUGGAAGUUCAAGACUGCUUCUGAGACUGAAACAGGCUGCAAGCUGAAGACCAUAAGGUCUGAUAAUGGGACUGAGUACACCUCAGCUCAGUUCUAAGCCUUCUGUGAUAAGGCAGGCAUCAAACAUCAACUUACCAACACAUAUACACCUCAGCAGAAUGGUGUAAGUGAAAGGAAGAAUAGGAGUUUGAUGGAUAUGGCCAGGUGCUUGAUGAUUCCGAAGAAUCUGCCUAAAGCACUAUGGGCAGAAGCAGUUAACACUGCAACAUACAUUCAAAAUAGACUUCCAACCAAGGCUUUGGAUCAGCAGACUCCAUUCGAGGCCUGGUUUGGCUUCAAGCCAUCACUGGCUCAUCUGAAGGUCUUUGGAUGCAUCUGUUAUGCACAUGUACCUGCUGUUAAAAGGGACAAAUUGUCUGAAAGAGCUCAACCUGGUGUACUGGUGGGCUACAGCACUGUUAAGAAAGGAUAUAGGAUCUUGGAUCCUUCAACAAACAAGGUGUCAGUUAGCAGGGAUAUGGUAUUUGAUGAAAGGUCAUGUUGGAACUGGGAAAGACAUGAACCUGAAGAAGUUUCUGAAGAACUAGCAACAGACCAAGCUGAGCCAGACCAAAAUGUUCCAGAAAUGGACAUUGAUGAUGAACCAGUCAGAGGAACAAGGCCAUUGACUGAGAUUUAUGAAAGGGCUCAUGUAGCCAUAGCUGAACCAAGCAACUUUGAAGAGGCUGAAGCUCAGCAAGGGUGGAAGUAGGCAAUGGCUGAGGAGAUCAGCAUGAUUGAGAAGAACCAGACCUGGGAAUUGGUUGAAAGGCCAGUCAAAAGGAAGGUGAUUGGGGUGAAAUGGGUGUACAAAGUCAAGCACAAUGCUGAUGGAACCUUGAACAAACUGAAAGCAAGGCUAGUUGUCAAGGGGUUCAGUCAGAAGUAUGGCCUGGACUACCUGGAGACCUUUGCACCAGUGGCCAGGCUCGACACCAUCAGACUAGUGAUUGCCUUAGCAGCACAGCUCGAAUGGAAAAUCCAUCAACUUGAUGUGAAAUCAGCCUUUCUGAAUGGUUUCUUAGAUGAAGACAUCUAUGUUGAACAACCACAAGGGUUUGAAAUAGCUGGUAGAGAGCAUAUGGUCUACAAACUGAAGAAGGCCCUAUAUGGUUUAAAACAGGCUCCAAGGGCCUGGUAUAGCAGAAUCGAUGGCUACUUGACUGAUCUGGGAUUCGAUCGAAGCAAGAGUGAGCCAACACUGUAUGUCAAGAAACAAGGGACACAAACACAACUCAUUGUGUCCCUGUAUGUUGAUGACCUUCUGGUGACAGGAGGAGAUCGAGCAGUGCUGGUUGAUUUCAAGACCAAGAUGCAGGAAGUGUUUGAAAUGUCUGAUCUUGGGGAGAUGUCCUAUUUUCUUGGAAUGGAGGUGUCUCAAGUACAGAAUGAGAUAUUUCUAAGCCAGAGAAGCUUUGCCACAAAGAUUCUGACCAAGUUCUCCAUGCAAAAUAGCAAGGCAACUAAAACACCUGUUGCUGUUGGAGAAAAACUAUCGAGCCAAGGUGAUUUUGAGAAGGUAUGUGAAACAACCUACAGGAGUCUAGUUGGUUGCUUGCUAUACUUGACUGCCACUAGACCAGACAUCAUGUAUGCUGUGGGAUUGCUCUCAAGGUUCUUGCAUUGCUGCAAUGAGAAGCAUUUCCAAGCUACAAAGAGAGUGCUGAGAUAUGUCAAAGGCACUUUAAACUAUGGUUUGAAGUAUAGCAAAGAAGGAAAUCUGAAGCUGGUUGGGUACACUGAUAGUGACUGGGCUGGCUCGAUAGAUGACAUGAAAAGCACCUCACGGUAUGCUUUUAACCUUGGUUCAGCCAUGUUUUGCUGGAGCUCGAAGAAGCAAAGUCUAGUGGUUCAAUCUACUGCUGAAGCAGAGUAUGUGGCAGCAGCAAGUGCUGUCAACCAAGCCAUAUGGCUAAGGAAAAUCUUGGCUGACUUGAAUGUGCAUCAAGAGGAAGCUACUGAGAUCUUCUGCGACAACCAAUCUGCAGUAGCAAUUGCUAGAAAUCCAGUGUUCCAUGGAAGAACAAAGCAUUUCAGCAUCAAGUUACAUGUUGUUCGAGAAAUGGAGCAAGCUCAGGAAGUAAAGCUGAUCCACUGUAAUUCAGAGGAUCAACUUGCAGACAUUUUAACCAAAGCCCUUAGUGUCACAAGGUUCGAAUGUCUAAGAAAGAAACUAGGUGUUUGCUCCAUGCAAACCAAGGAGGAGUGAUGAAGUUGGUUCAGCAUGCAGCAAACUCGACAACAUGCAGGCCAUGAAGACCAAGACAUGCAGGAGCUGCUGAUGUAAGCUUAUUUUGUUUAUUUUGUAAUUUUUAGUCAAUGAAAUGUAAUCUUAGUUCAUUUCUAACUAAGUUAGAUUGUUGACUGAUGUAAUUAGCUUAUGUAUGAGCUGUAAACACAACUUUGUAUAGGUUUACAAGCUAAAAUUUCAAGUUUCCAUGUAAUUAGUAGGAGUAGGUGAUGUUUAGGUAAUUACUUGCUUUUUUUGACAAGCUUAGUGCUUGUUUUAUGUAUUGGCAUUAUGCCAUUAUUCAAUUAGAUGAAUGAAGUUCAGUUUGUUCAUCAUUAUUCCUCUUCAUUUUUCUUAGCUUUUCUUUCUUUCUUCUGCUCGAAUUCUCUUGUUUGCUCAGCAAGUCUCGAGACUUAGUCGACAAGUCUGUGCUGUGUCUGUUAGUUUCAGUUACUGCACCAACAAUUGGUAUCAGAGCCUAUUUUUUAAGGGAUCUAUUAUACAAAUACAUGGCGUCAUCAAGCUUUUCACCAGCUGCACCUCAAGUCUUCAAUGGAGAAGGCUAUCACAUAUGGGUGGUCAAAAUGAAGACCUACCUGCAGGCAUACGAUCUGUGGGAGGUGGUCAACUCAGAUGUUGAACCAGAACCACUUAGAGGCAAUCCAACAGUGGCUCAAAUCAGGCAGCAUGCUGAUGAGAGGACCAAGAGCCACAAAGCCAUGUCUUGCAUCCAGAACUCAGUGUCUGAUGUGAUUUUCACAAGGAUUAUGGCCUGUGAAUCACCAAAAUAGGCCUGGGACAAGUUGCAGGAAGAGUUUCAAGGGACAGAGAGGACAAGGCAGCAAUAGUUGUUGAACUUGAGGAGAGGUUUCGAGAAUUUGAAGAUGAAGGAAGAAGAAACUGUCAAGCAAUAUUCUGACAGGAUUAUGGCUGUGGUUAACAGCAUCAGGCUCCUUGGAGAGCAGUUCAAUGAAGCUAGGAUAGUGGAGAAGGUUAUAGCAACUCUGCCUGAGAGGUAUGAGGCAAAAAUCUCAUCUCUCGAGGACUCAAGGGAUCUGUCCACCAUCUCCCUGACAGAGUUGAUCAAUGCUCUAUAUGCUCAAGAGCAGAGAAGAACAAGCAGACUGGAGGAGCACCAAGAAAGUGCCUUUUAGGCAAGAACAAAUACUGCCUACAAAGGCAAGAAAGCCUGUAGAGACAAACCAAAGAAUGAUGCUGCAAGGAGAGAAGGUCAGACUUGCAAGCACUGCAGAAGGGUUGGUCAUCCAGAAGAAAAGUGCUGGUUUAAUCCAGAAGCUGUAUGUCAGUAUUGUAAGAAGAAGGGUCAUGUUGAGAAAGUCUGCAAGAGUAAGACCAAAUCGAGGCAGAAUCAGUUUCAACAGAUGAAAGCUGAGGCUCGAGUAGCUAAGGAGGACAGUGACCAAGAGGAGCAAGUCUUUGCUGUGUCAUGCUCAGCUGCUCAGGAAAGGUCCUCAUCUGGUUGGCUCCUAGACAGUGGAUGCACCAACCACAUGACACCUGAUGCUGCAAUCUUCAAGUCUUUAGACAGAAGCUGCAGAACUAAAGUCAAGAUAGGAAAUGGUCAUUUUAUUCAAGCUGAAGGCAAGGGUGAUGUGCUGAUAUGCACUCUUACAGGUACCAAAGUGAUUUCAAAUGUGCUGUUGGUGCCUGAAAUUGGUAGAAGCCUGCUCAGCAUAGCUCAGUUGCUGGAAAAAGGUUAUUCUGUUGUGUUUAAAGACCACCAGUGCCAAAUCAGUGAUCCAAGUGGAUCCAAACUGAUGGCAGUCCCUAUGGCUGAUAAGAGCUUUGUGGUUGACUGGACAAAGAAGUCAGACACUGCCUACACAGCCACAUCAGAUGAAUCCAAGCCGUGGCAUCAAAGACUGGGAUAUGCCAACUUCAGAUUGAUGGCCCGAAUGGUCAGAGAGGACCUGGCUGAAAAUUUCAUCAACUCAGUGGACCAUGAUGAUGUAUGUAAAGUAUGUCAACUAGGAAAGCAGGCCAGACUCCCAUUUCCCUCGAAUCAAGCCUGGAGAGCCUUUGAAAAACUCCAACUGGUGCAUACUGAUGUGUGUGGCCCUAUGAAGACUGAGUCAUUAAGUGGAAACAGGUAUUUUAUACUGUUCAUUGAUGAUUUUUCAAGAUAUUGCUGGAUUUACUUCUUAAAACAAAAAUCAGAGGUGGCCUCAGUGUUUUGAAAGUUCAAGACUGCUUCUGAGACUGAAACAGGCUGCAAGCUGAAGACCAUAAGGUCUGAUAAUGGGACUGAGUACACCUCAGCUCAGUUUUAAGCCUUCUAUGAUAAGGCAGGCAUCAAACAUCAACUUACCAACACAUAUACACCUAAGCAGAAUGGUGUAAGUGAAAGGAAGAAUAGGAGUUUGAUGGAUAUGGCCAGGUGCUUGAUGAUUCCGAAGAAUCUGCCUAAAGCACUAUGGGCAGAAGCAGUUAACACUGCAACAUACAUUCAAAAUAGACUUCCAACCAAGGCUUUGGAUCAGCAGACUCCAUUCGAGGCCUGGUUUGGCUUCAAGCCAUCACUAGCUCAUCUGAAGGUCUUUGGAUGCAUCUGUUAUGCACAUGUACCUGCUGUUAAAAGGGACAAAUUAUCUGAAAGAGCUCAACCUGGUGUACUGGUGGGCUACAGCACUGUUAAGAAAGGAUAUAGGAUCUUGGAUCCUUCAACAAACAAGGUGUCAGUUAGCAGGGAUGUGGUAUUUGAUGAAAGGUCAUGUUGGAACUGGGAAAGACAUGAACCUGAAGAAGUUUCUGAAGAACUAGCAACAGACCAAGCUGAGCCAGACCAAAAUGUUCCAGAAAUGGACAUUGAUGAUGAACCAGUCAGAGGAACAAGGCCAUUGACUGAGAUUUAUGAAAGGGCUCAUGUAGCCAUAGCUGAACCAAGCAACUUUGAAGAGGCUGAAGCUCAGCAAGGGUGGAAGCAGGCAAUGGCUGAGGAGAUCAGCAUGAUUGAGAAGAACCAGACCUGGGAAUUGGUUGAAAGGCCAGUCAAAAGGAAGGUGAUUGGGGUGAAAUGGGUGUACAAAGUCAAGCACAAUGCUGAUGGAACCUUGAACAAACUGAAAGCAAGGCUAGUUGUCAAGGGGUUUAGUCAGAAGUUUGGCCUGGACUACCUAGAGACCUUUGCACCAGUGGCCAGGCUCGACACCAUCAGACUAGUGAUUGCCUUAGCAGCACAGCUCGAAUGGAAAAUCCAUCAACUUGAUGUGAAAUCAGCCUUUCUGAAUGGUUUCUUAGAUGAAGACAUCUAUGUUGAACAACCAUAAGGGUUUGAAAUAGCUGGUAGAGAGCAUAUGGUCUACAAACUAAAGAAGGCCCUAUAUGGAUUAAAACAGGCUCCAAGGGCCUGGUAUAGCAGAAUCGAUGGCUACUUGACUGAUCUGGGAUUCGAUCGAAGCAAGAGUGAGCCAACACUGUAUGUCAAGAAACAAGGGACACAAACACAACUCAUUGUGUCCCUGUAUGUUGAUGACCUUCUGGUGACAGGAUGAGAUCGAGCAGUGCUGGCUGAUUUCAAGACCAAGAUACAGGAAGUGUUUGAAAUGUCUGAUCUUGGGGAGAUGUCCUAUUUUCUUGGAAUGGAGGUGUCUCAAGUACAGAAUGAGAUAUUUCUAAGCCAGAGAAGCUUUGCCACAAAGAUUCUGACCAAGUUCUCCAUGCAAAAUAGCAAGGCAACUAAAACACCUGUUGCUGUUGGAGAAAAACUAUCGAGCCAAGGUGAUUUUGAGAAGGUAUGUGAAACAACCUACAGGAGUCGAGUUGGUUGCUUGCUAUACUUGACUGCCACUAGACCAGACAUCAUGUAUGCUGUGGGAUUGCUCUCAAGGUUCUUGCAUUGCUGCAAUGAGAAGCAUUUCCAAGCUACAAAGAGAGUGCUGAGAUAUGUCAAAGGCACUUUAAACUAUGGUUUGAAGUAUAGCAAAGAAGAAAAUCUGAAGCUGGUUGGGUACACUGAUAGUGACUGGGCUGGCUCGAUAGAUGACAUGAAAAGUACCUCACGGUAUGCUUUUAACCUUGGUUCAGCCAUGUUUUGCUGGAGCUCGAAGAAGCAAAGUCUAGUGGUUCAAUCUACUGCUGAAGCAGAGUAUGUGGCAGCAGCAAGUGCUGUCAACCAAGCCAUAUGGCUAAGGAAAAUCUUGGCUGACUUGAAUGUGCAUCAAGAGGAAGCUACUGAGAUCUUCUGUGACAACCAAUCUGCAGUAGCAAUUGCUAGAAAUCCAGUGUUCCAUGAAAGAACAAAGCAUUUCAGCAUCAAGUUACAUGUUGUUCGAGAAAUGGAGCAAGCUCAGGAAGUAAAGCUGAUCCACUGUAAUUCAGAGGAUCAACUUGCAGACAUUUUAACCAAAGCCCUUAGUGUCACAAGGUUCGAAUGUCUAAGAAAGAAACUAGGUGUUUGCUCCAUGCAAACCAAGGAGGAGUGAUGAAGUUGGUUCAGCAUGCAGCAAACUCGACAACAUGCAGGCCAUGAAGACCAAGACAUGCAGGAGCUGCUGAUGCAAGCUUAUUUUAUUUAUUUUGUAAUUUCUAGUCAAUGAAAUGUAAUCUUAGUUCAUUUCUAACUAAGUUAGAUUGUUGACUGAUGUAAUUAGCUUAUGUAUGAGCUGUAAACACAACUUUGUAUAGGUUUACAAGCUAAAAUUUCAAGUUUCCAUGUAAUUAGUGGGAGUAGGUGAUGUUUAGGUAAUUACUUGCUUUUUUUGACGAGCUUAGUGCUUGUUUUAUGUAUUGGCAUUAUGCCAUUAUUCAAUUAGAUGAAUGAAGUUCAGUUUGUUCAUCAUUAUUCCUCUUUAUUUUUCUUAGCUUUUCUUCCUUUCUUCUGCUCGAAUUCUCUUGUUUGCUCAGCAAGUCUCGAGACUUGGUCGACAAGUCUGUGCUGUGUCUGUUAGUUUCAGUUACUGCACCAACAAUUGGUAUCAGAGCCUAUUUUUUAAGGGAUCUAUUAUACAAAUACAUGGCGUCAUCAAGCUUUUCACCAGCUGCACCUCAAGUCUUCAAUGGAGAAGGCUAUCACAUAUGGGUGGUCAAAAUGAAGACCUACCUGCAGGCAUACGAUCUGUGGGAGGUGGUCAACUUAGAUGUUGAACCAGAACCACUUAGAGGCAAUCCAACAGUGGCUCAAAUCAGGCAGCAUGCUGAUGAGAGGACCAAGAGGCACAAAGCCAUGUCUUGCAUCCAGAACUCAGUGUCUGAUGUGAUUUUCACAAGGAUUAUGGCCUGUGAAUCACCAAAAUAGGCCUGGGACAAGUUGCAGGAAGAGUUUCAAGGGACAGAGAGGACAAGGCAGCAACAGUUGUUGAACUUGAGGAGAGGUUUCGAGAAUUUGAAGAUGAAGGAAGAAGAAACUGUCAAGCAAUAUUCUGACAGGAUUAUGGCUGUGGUUAACAGCAUCAGGCUCCUUGGAGAGCAGUUCAAUGAAGCUAGGAUAGUGGAGAAGGUUAUAGCAACUCUGCCUGAGAGGUAUGAGGCAAAAAUCUCAUCUCUCGAGGACUCAAGGGAUCUGUCCACCAUCUCCCUGACAGAGUUGAUCAAUGCUCUAUAUGCUCAAGAGCAGAGAAGAGCAAGCAGACUGGAGGAGCACCAAGAAAGUGCCUUUCAGGCAAGAACAAAUACUGCCUACAAAGGUAAGAAAGCCUGGAGAGACAAACCAAAGAAUGAUGCUGCAAGGAGAGAAGGUCAGACUUGCAAGCACUGCAGAAGGGUUGGUCAUCCAAAAGAAAAGUGCUGGUUUAAUCCAGAAGCUGUAUGUCAGCAUUGUAAGAAGAAGGGUCAUGUUGAGAGAGUCUGCAAGAGUAAGACCAAAUCGAGGCAGAAUCAGUUUCAACAGAUGAAAGCUGAGGCUCGAGUAGCUAAGGAGGACAGUGACCAAGAGGAGCAAGUCUUUGCUGUGUCAUGCUCCGCUGCUCAGGAAAGGUCCUCAUCUGGUUGGCUCCUAGACAGUGGAUGCACCAACCACAUGACACCUGAUGCUGCAAUCUUCAAGUCUUUAGACAGAAGCUGCAGAACUAAAGUCAAGAUAGGAAAUGGUCAUUUUAUUCAAGCUGAAGGCAAGGGUGAUUUGCUGAUAUGCACCCUUACAGGUACCAAAGUGAUUUCAAAUGUGCUGUUGGUGCCUGUAAUUGACAGAAACCUGCUCAGCAUAGCUCAGUUGCUGGAAAAAGGUUAUUAUGUUGUGUUUAAAGACCACCAGUGCCAAAUCAGUGAUCCAAGUGGAUCCAAACUGAUGGCAGUCCCUAUGGCUGAUAAGAGCUUUGUGGUUGACUGGACAAAGAAGUCAGACACUGCCUACACAACCACAUCAGAUGAAUCCAAGCCGUGGUAUCAAAGACUGGGAUAUGCCAACUUCAGAUUGAUGGCCCGAAUGGUCAGAGAGGACCUGGCUGAAAAUUUCAUCAACUCAGUGGACCAUGAUGAUGUAUGUAAAGUAUGUCAACUAGGAAAGCAGGCCAGACUCCCAUUUCCCUCGAAUCAAGCCUGGAGAACCUUUGAAAAACUCCAACUGGUGCAUACUGAUGUGUGUGGCCCUAUGAAGACUGAGUCAUUAAGUGGAAACAGGUAUUUUAUACUGUUCAUUGAUGAUUUUUCAAGAUAUUGCUGGAUUUACUUCUUAAAACAAAAAUCAGAGGUGGCCUCAGUGUUUUGGAAGUUCAAGACUGCUUCUAAGACUGAAACAGGCUGCAAGCUGAAGACCAUAAGGUCUGAUAAUGGGACUGAGUACACCUCAGCUCAGUUCUAAGCCUUCUGUGAUAAGGCAGGCAUCAAACAUCAACUUACCAACACAUAUACACCUCAGCAGAAUGGUGUAAGUGAAAGGAAGAAUAGGAGUUUGAUGGAUAUGGCCAGGUGCUUGAUGAUUCCGAAGAAUCUGCCUAAAGCACUAUGGGCAGAAGCAGUUAACACUGCAACAUACAUUCAAAAUAGACUUCCAACCAAGGCUUUGGAUCAGCAGACUCCAUUCGAGGCCUGGUUUGGCUUCAAGCCAUCACUGGCUCAUCUGAAGGUCUUUGGAUGCAUCUGUUAUGCACAUGUACCUGCUGUUAAAAGGGACAAAUUGUCUGAAAGAGCUCAACCUGGUGUACUUGUGGGCUACAGUACUGUUAAGAAAGGAUAUAGGAUCUUGGAUCCUUCAACAAACAAGGUGUCAGUUAGCAGGGAUGUGGUAUUUGAUGAAAGGUCAUGUUGGAACUGGGAAAGACAUGAACCUGAAGAAGUUUCUGAAGAACUAGCAACAGACCAAGCUGAGCCAGACCAAAAUGUUCCAGAAAUGGACAUUGAUGAUGAACCAGUCAGAGGAACAAGGCCAUUGACUGAGAUUUAUGAAAGGGCUCAUGUAGCCAUAGCUGAACCAAGCAACUUUGAAGAGGCUGAAGCUCAGCAAGGGUGGAAGCAGGCAAUGGCUGAGGAGAUCAGCAUGAUUGAGAAGAACCAGACCUGGGAAUUGGUUGAAAGGCCAGUCAAAAGGAAGGUGAUUGGGGUGAAAUGGGUGUACAAAGUCAAGCACAAUGCUGAUGGAACCUUGAACAAACUGAAAGCAAGGCUAGUUGUCAAGGGGUUCAGUCAGAAGUAUGGCCUGGACUACCUGGAGACCUUUGCACCAGUGGCCAGGCUCGACACCAUCAGACUAGUGAUUGCCUUAGCAGCACAGCUCGAAUGGAAAAUCCAUCAACUUGAUGUGAAAUCAGCCUUUCUUAAUGGUUUCUUAGAUGAAGACAUCUAUGUUGAACAACCACAAGGGUUUGAAAUAGCUGGUAGAGAGCAUAUGGUCUACAAACUGAAGAUGGCCCUAUAUGGUUUAAAACAGGCUCCAAGGGCCUGGUAUAGCAGAAUCGAUGGCUACUUGACUGAUCUGGGAUUCGAUCGAAGCAAGAGUGAGCCAACACUGUAUGUCAAGAAACAAGAGACACAAACACAACUCAUUGUGUCCCUGUAUGUUGAUGACCUUCUGGUGACAGGAGGAGAUCGAGCAGUGCUGGCUGAUUUCAAGACCAAGAUGCAGGAAGUGUUUGAAAUGUCUGAUCUUGGGGAGAUGUCCUAUUUUCUUGGAAUGGAGGUGUCUCAAGUACAGAAUGAGAUAUUUCUAAGCCAGAGAAGCUUUGCCACAAAGAUUCUGACCAAGUUCUCCAUGCAAAAUAGCAAGGCAACUAAAACACCUGUUGCUGUUGGAGAAAAACUAUCGAGCCAAGGUGAUUUUGAGAAGGUAUGUGAAACAACCUACAGGAGUCUAGUUGGUUGCUUGCUAUACUUGACUGCCACUAGACCAGACAUCAUGUAUGCUGUGGGAUUGCUCUCAAGGUUCUUGCAUUGCUGCAAUGAGAAGCAUUUCCAAGCUACAAAGAGAGUGCUGAGAUAUGUCAAAGGCACUUUAAACUAUGGUUUGAAGUAUAGCAAAGAAGGAAAUCUGAAGCUGGUUGGGUACACUGAUAGUGACUGGGCUGGCUCGAUAGAUGACAUGAAAAGCACCUCACGGUAUGCUUUUAACCUUGGUUCAGCCAUGUUUUGCUGGAGCUCGAAGAAGCAAAGUCUAGUGGUUCAAUCUACUGCUGAGGCAGAGUAUGUGGCAGCGGCAAGUGCUGUCAACCAAGCCAUAUGGCUAAGGAAAAUCUUGGCUGACUUGAAUGUGCAUCAAGAGGAAGCUACUGAGAUCUUCUGUGACAACCAAUUUGUAGUAGCAAUUGCUAGAAAUCCAGUGUUCCAUGGAAGAACAAAGCAUUUCAGCAUCAAGUUACAUGUUGUUCGAGAAAUGGAGCAAGCUCAGGAAGUAAAGCUGAUCCACUGUAAUUCAGAGGAUCAACUUGCAGACAUUUUAACCAAAGCCCUUAGUGUCACAAGGUUCGAAUGUCUAAGAAAGAAACUAGGUGUUUGCUCCAUGCAAACCAAGGAGGAGUGAUGAAGUUGGUUCAGCAUGCAGCAAACUCGACAACAUGCAGGCCAUGAAGACCAAGACAUGCAGGAGCUGCUGAUGCAAGCUUAUUUUGUUUAUUUUGUAAUUUCUAGUCAAUGAAAUGUAAUCUUAGUUCAUUUCUAACUAAGUUUGAUUGUUGACUGAUGUAAUUAGCUUAUGUAUGAGCUGUAAACACAACUUUGUAUAGGUUUACAAGUUAAAAUUUCAAGUUUCCAUGUAAUUAGUGGGAGUAGGUGAUGUUUAGGUAAUUACUUGCUGUUUUUGACAAGCUUAGUGCUUGUUUUAUGUAUUGGCAUUAUGCCAUUAUUCAAUUAGAUGAAUGAAGUUCAGUUUGUUCAUCAUUAUUCCUCUUCAUUUUUCUUAGCUUUUCUUCCUUUCUUCUGCUCGAAUUCUCUUGUUUGCUCAGCAAGUCUUGAGACUUGGUCGACAAGUCUGUGCUGUGUCUGUUAGUUUCAGUUACAGCACCGACAAGUUGAGUCAGAGCCGAAGGAAUGCUGAUGAAAUUGUUACCACAAAGAUAAAGAUAACUCAAAGAGGAUAGACCAAAAAUGUCACUAUUAGUAUCUGCUUCACCAAGAGUGCACAUGUUGCAAUUUGACAAGUGAAGUGACUUGAGCUUUGAGAGUCGAGUAAGAGAUGCAGGUUUGCUGAUGAAAUUGUUACCAUUAAGAUUAAGAUGACUCAAAGAGGAUAGACCAGAAAUAUCACUAUGAGUAUCUGCUUCACCAAAAGUGCACAUGUUGCAAUUUGACAAUUUAAGAUUUUCAAGCUUCGAGAGUCGAGUAAGAGAUGCAGGUAUGCUGAUGAAAUUAUUACCACUAAGAUCAAGAGAUACCAAAGAGGAUAGACCAGAAAUAUCAGGUGGAAUAUCUACUUCACAAAGAUUGCAGUCCCUUAGUUUUAGCUCUCUUAAAGAACUCAAACCUGACAACAAAGGCAACAUCCGAGCCAUGGGAUUCAUCCUUCUUCCUUGGAUUACCUUGAAAAGAGAAGGCAAACUUGGUAGUAACUUAUAUGAUGGUCCCUUGCGCCCACUGAAAGACAGAACUUUAAGAUUUUUAAAUUGAAAAAUGAAGGAUGGUGGUUCUGCUAUGACUGUUUCACUCAAGUCGAGCUCUUCCAAAAACCUUGCGCCCAAUAUCCACAAAGAAACUAGAAAAAAUAAGUAUAUGAGCAUAGGGGUCAAAGAUGAGCGAUGGAUGUUGUUUCCAAGAAGGUGAGAGUUGGCAAAGUGGAGUCUACUUUAAUUAUAAGUAAUAAUUAAAAAUGUUGGACAGUUUGUAUUUUACGCAUUUAAUAAUUAGCAAUGUUAAUGGAUUGAUGUUCUCAGCCAAUCUGCAGCAGUCAUUGGCUCUAUGGCAAUCAAUGCCUGUAGGGCAGGCCAAACCCACUAAAUUUAACUUUGGUCGAAUCUGUAAUUUUAUACAUAAAAUUUUAAUUUGUAUCUAAUUUUCACAAAUUAUUAAUAUAGUAUCAUUUUAUGUUAAUAAAUUGCAUACACAUACAAUUAUAUUUAUCCAAUAUAAAUAUAAAUUAAUAUAUUUUAUUUCUUUAAAUGUAUAUGAUUUAACCACAAUCAAAGUUUCAUGUAUCCAUUUGAAUCAAAAUCAAAGUUCCACGUGUAUAAUUACACUAAAUCAAAGCUCAUUUAUUAAAUUGACAUUGAAUCAAAGUUAAUAUAUAAUUUUGAGAUUUAUCUCAAUAUUUUAAGACCUACAUAAUAAAAUAAUAUAAAAUAAUUAAAACACACAGUUUUGCUGCCAUCAAGAUUAUAUAUACAUGACACAAAUAACAAAUAUGUUAAACUCUCACGUAAAAUGAAUUAUUACCAUGUCAAGUUUUAUUUAAAUUUAUAGUACUUCGAAGAAAAAAACAAUGUAAAUAUACAUUUUAAAUGAAUAUGAGAAAUUAUGUAAAAUACAAGAUGAAUAUAAAUGUUGAGUGUAGUGGUAAGUCACAUUAUAUUUUUAAAGAAUGAACGCGGAUUCAAAUAUUAUUAAGAGGAUAGUCACAAGCCUCAAACAUAAACAAUAAAAUGAAUAUAUUGAAUAACUAUGACAAACUAUAUAAAAUAUAUUAUAAUAUAUAAGUAAUGUAAACAUGACAUACAUAUACAAUAUGCCAAUAUAUAUAAGUAAUAUGAUGGGAUUAGGUUCUCAUGCAAAGCUGUAUUUGUUGCUUAGGAUCGCUUCUGUAUUUCAUUUUCCCAACAUUUUCUUCCACUAAGCUCAGUAAUGCUGUUGAUUCAAUGUCUGCAGAUUAUAAUGGCGAAACCAGCUGGAGGUCCAGCGAGGAGAGAUAAAUGAAUCUAUUGAAUUUUUUAAAAGAAAAAAAUAUGAAUAAGUGUCUUUCGCACAAAAGAUUUUCUAAUGGAAUAUUAGUGCAUACUUUAUAUUCAUAUUUGAAUAAAUAUUAAAAAUAAAUGUAUAAACAUAAAUAUUUUAUAAAAAUAUAUAAACUGAGGAGUUGGAAUAAUAUUAUUUCUACUUCAAGCCAUGAAAUUUAAAUGAUACUUUAUUAGAAGGGAUUUAUAUUUAAUCUUUCAAAUAUAUAAAAACAGUUUUGACUGAUUAAAUUGAACACAUAAGUUGGUAUCCAAUAAAAAUAAAAUAAUUUUUAACUCAGUUAAAAUUAUAAUCGAUCCUUAUUAAAGGGUUCUCAUUUUAUCAUUACUUGCUUCGUCUCCAUUUUUUCUCACAUUAAUUUUGUUUUAAUUUGCUUCAUCUUCAACCUACAAAUAAAAUAUAGAUGUAAGUGAAUAUAUAUAUAUUGUGGAAAUAAAUUUUUAAUUAAAAAAAAAGAUGAAACCAAUCAAAAUAUACACAUUUCGAUUAUGUAAAAAGGAAUGAAUUAAGUGACUAAAAUUUUAAAUGGUCUAAAAAACAAUGUCAUCAACAUUUGAGAUAUGUACAUGUUUUGGCAUAUAAUGGAAGGAUCAUAUCUCAUAUGCAAAACAAGUCUAGAAUAAUUGUUUAAAUGAAAUACAAGAUGUGUAAAAAGAAAUUAAUAGGACAAAGUUGGUUAAGUAGUUUACCACAGUUAAUGCUUCUUUCUUGAUUGGCCCUUUACAAAAUUGAAAAUAUUUUGCAUCCGUUUUGGUUGCGGCUCUUCUUCUUCCGUUUCCACAUAGAUAUUAGGUUUCCGCUUUAUGUGAGAAGUGCUACCUACUGAUCCAUGGUUGUGAGCAGAGUGUUGGUGGAUGUGUUCAAAAUUUGGAGAAGAUUGAGUGGUAUCGCACUGUAACUCCUUCAUUUCUUCCAAAUCUUUCUCAUACACUAUUCUAACACCACACUUCUUCACCUUAACACAAGGGAAAUUUGGUCCAAUUACGUCAUUGAAAGACAACUCAAGCUCAUCGCCUAUUUGAUCAAAGCAAUCUGUUGUCCAUAAAUUAUUGGUUUCACAGUCACCAUAUUUAUCCUCCAAGGAAAUUGGAUAUAAUUGAUCACGCGGAAAAUAGCGAAGAAAAAGGUGAUCUUUCAUUAUGGGCUUGUCAAAGUAUCGACCUACCCACCGGUUUCUCCAACAAAUUCGUCGACAAUUUCUACCUCGAAAAAUAGAUCCUUCACAGCUGAUAAACUCGUCACCCCUUGAAGCAUCAUUAUUGACAAAAAUGCAGCAACAAGCAACUCCAAUCCAUUGACUAUCUUUCCGAAGGUUGAUAGGUAGGUGUAUCUUAAUUGAAAAGUCACUUUUUUGUUGGCUAAACCAUUCUGGAAUUUCACUUCCGGGCAUCAUAAUAUCAAAGAAGCCAUCAUCAAAAUAUUUUCUAGAAUUUUGAAGUGCCUGCAAAAUAAAACACAAGUCGUCUGGUAACUAAAACCAUAAAUUCUCAAGUAUGAGAUUUUGUAAGGGAGAAAAAAUAGAUUAAUAGACCUUAAUAUGUUCUUUCAGUAGUGCUAAUGCAUUGAUUUUCUCAGCCAAUUUGAAGCAGUUAAUGGCAUCAAUGCUUUCACCACCCACUAAAUUGCAUACUUUUGAUGGACUUGCAACUACUUCAAGUGAAGAACAAUCAUCUAUUGUCACACUUCCUAUACUUUUUGGUAGCUCAGGCAACGAUUUAAGCAUCUUGCAACCUGACAAUUCAAGCAAUUUGAGCCUGGAAAGUUGAGUAAGAGCCAAAGGAAUGCUGAUGAAAUUGUUACCACUAAGAUAAAGAUAACUCUAAGAGGAUAGACCAGAAAUAUCACUAUGAGUAUCUGCUUCACCAAGAGUGCACAUGUUGCAAUUUGAUAAUUCAAGAGACUUAAGCUUUGAGAGUCGAGUAAGAGAUGCAGGUAUGCUGAUGAAAUUCUUACCACUAAGAUUAAGAUAACUCAAAGAGGAUAGACCAGAAAUAUCACUAUGAGUAUCUGUUUCACCAAAAGUGCACAAGUUGCAAUUUGACAAUAUAAGAUAUGCAAGCUUCGAGAGUCGAGUAAGAGAUGCAGGUAUGCUGAUGAAAUUGUUACCACUAAGAUCAAGUAUUUCCAAACAGGAUAGACCAGAAAUAUCAGGUGAAAUAUCUCCUUCACAAAGAUUGCAGUCCCUUAGUUUUAGCUCUCUUAAAGAACUCAAACCUGACAACAAAGGCAACAUCCUAGCCAUGGGAUUCGUCCUUCUUCCUUGGAUUACCUUGAAAAGAGAAGGCAAAUUAGGUAGUAACUUAUAUGAUGGUCCCUUGCACCUAUUAAAAGACAGAAAUUUAAGAUUUUUAAAUUGAAAAAUGAAGGAUGGUGGUUCUGCUAUGGCUGUUUCACUCAAGUCGAGCUUUUCCAAAAACUUUGCUUGCUACAAAUUCUCCGAUAAAUUUUCCACUCUAUAACAACUGGAAAGAUCUAGAGUUUUUAGACGUUCCAUUUUCCCAUCAAUCUCCGGAAACCUUACAAGACUUGAGCAACCCGAAAGAAUUAAUGUUUCAAGAGAUUCCAUUCUGAAGAAGUUGGUUCAGCAUGCAGCAAACUCUCGACAGCAUGCAGGCCAUGAAGACCAAGCUGUGCGGGAGCUGCUAAUUCAAGCUAUUUUUGUUCAUUUUGUAAUCUUUAGUCAAUGAAACGUAAUCUAGUUCAUUUAGAACUAUGUUAGGUAGAUGAUUGAUGUAAUUUACUGACAUAUGAGCUGUUAAUUCAGCUUUGCUUGUAUACACAAGCUAAUUACUUCAAGUUUCAAUGCUUAGUGGUGUUAGGUAACCAUUAGGUGUAUGUUUACUGUUUUUGACAAGCUUAGUGCUUGGUUUAUGUAUUGGCAUUGUGCCAUUAUUCAAUUUAUGAAUGAAAUCAGUUUGUUCAUCAACUUUCACUCCAUUUUUCUUAGUUUUUCUUCUUUUCUUUUGCUUGAAUUCUCUUGUUUGCUCAGCAAGUCUCGAGGCUUGCUCGACAAGUCUGUGCUGAGUCUGUUAGUUUCUGUUGUUGUUCCAACAAUUGGUAUCUAGAGCCUAUUUCUUAAGGGAUCUGUUAUACAAAUCCAUGGCUUCAUCAAGCUUUUCACCAGCUGCACCUCAAGUCUUCAAUGGUGAAGGCUAUCACAUAUGGGUGGCAAAAUGAAGACCUACCUGCAGGCUUACGAUCUGUGGGAAGUGGUCAACUCAGAUGUUGAACUAGAGCCACUUAGAGGCAAUCCAACAGUGGCUCAGAUCAGGCAGCAUGCUGGUGAGAGGACCAAGAGGCACAAAGCCAUGUCUUGCAUCCAGAACUCAGUGUCAGAUGUGAUUUUCACAAGGAUUAUGGCCUGUGAAUCACCAAAACAUGCCUGGGAUAAGUUGCAAGAAGAGUUUCAAGGGACAGAGAGGACAAGGCAGCAACAGUUGUUGAACUUGAGGAGAGAUUUCGAGAAUUUAAAGAUGAAGGAAGAAGAAACUGUCAAGCAGUACUCUGACAGGAUUAUGGUUGUGGUUAACAGCAUUAGGCUCCUUGGAGAGCAGUUUAAUGAAGCUAGGAUAGUGGAGAAGGUUAUAGCAACUCUGCCUGAGAGGUAUGAGGUAAAAAUCUCAUCUCUCGAGGACUCAAGGGAUCUGUCUACUAUUUUCCUGACAGAGUUGAUCAAUGCUCUAUAUGCUCAAGAGCAGAAGAGAGCAAGCAGACUGGAGGAGCACCAAGAAGGUGCCUUUCAGGCAAGGACAAAUUCUGCCUACAAAGGCAAGAAUGCUUGGAGAGACAAGCCAAAGAAUGAUGCCGCAAGGAGAGAAGGUCAGACUUGCAAGCACUGCAGAAGGAAUGGUCAUCCAGAAGAAAAAUGCUGGUUUAAUCCAGAUGCUGUGUGUCAGCAUUGUAAGAAGAAGGGUCAUGUUGAGAGAGUCUGCAAGAGCAAGGCCAAAUCAAGACAGAAUCAGUUUCAACAGAUGAAAGUUGAGGCUCGAGUAGCUAAGGAGGACAGUGACCAAGAGGAGCAAGUCUUUGCUGUGUCAUGCUCAACUACUCAGGAAAGGUUCUCAUCUGGUUGGCUCCUAGACAGUGGAUGUACCAACCACAUGACACCUGAUGCUGCAAUCUUCAAGUCUUUAGACAGAAGCUGCAGAACUAAAGUCAAGAUAGGAAAUGGCCAUUUCAUUCAAGCUGAAGGCAAGGGUGAUGUACUGAUAUGCACCCCUACAGGUGCCAAAGUGAUUUCAAAUGUGCUCUUGGUGCCUGAAAUUAAUAGAAACCUGCUCAGCAUAGCUCAGUUGCUGGAGAAAGGUUAUUCUGUUGUGUUCAAAGACAACCAGUGCCAAAUCAGUGAUCCAAGUGGAUCCAAACUGAUGGCAGUCCCUAUGGCUGAUAAGAGCUUUGUAGUUGACUAGACUAGGGAGUCAAAUAUUGCCUACACAGCCAUAUCAGAUGAAUUCAAGCUGUGGCAUCAAAGGCUGGGACAUGCCAACUUCAGAUCGAUGGCUCGAAUGGUCAGAGAGGACUUAGCUGAAAACUUCAUCAACUCAGUGGAUUAUGAUGAUGUGUGUGAGGUGUGCCAGCUAGGAAAGCAGGCCAGACUACCAUUUCCUUUGAAUCAAGCCUGGAGAGCCUCUGAAAAACUCCAACUGGUGCACACUGAUGUGUGUGGCCCUAUGAGGACUGAGUCAUUAAGUGGAAACAGAUAUUUUAUACUGUUUAUUGAUGAUUUCUCAAGAUAUUGCUGGCUUUACUUCUUAAAAUAGAAAUCAGAGGUGGCCACUGUAUUUUGGAAGUUCAAAACUACUGCUGAGACUGAAACAGGCUGCAAGCUGAAGACCAUAAGGUCUGAUAAUGGGACUGAGUACACCUCAGCUCAGUUCCAAGCCUUCUGUGAUAAGGUAGGCAUCAAACAUCAGCUUACCAAUAUUUAUACACCUCAGCAAAAUGGUGUAAGUGAAAGGAAGAAUAGGAGUUUAAUGGAUAUGGCCAGGUGCUUGAUGAUUCAGAAGAAUCUGCCUAAAGCACUAUGGGCAGAAGCAGUUAACACUGCAACAUACAUUCAAAAUAGACUUCCAACCAAGGCUUUGGAUCAGAAGACUCCAUUCGAGUCCUGGUUUGGCUUCAAGCCAUCAUUGGCUCAUCUGAAGGUCUUUGGAUGCAUCUGUUAUGCACAUGUACCUGCUGUUAAAAGGGACAAAUUGUCUGAAAGGGCUCGACCUUGUGUUCUGGUGGGCUACAGCAUUGUUAAGAAGGGCUAUAGGAUUUUGGAUCCUUCAACAAAGAAAGUGUCAGUAAGCAGAGAUGUGGUAUUUGAUGAAAGGUCAUGCUGGAACUGGGAAAGGCAUGAACCUGAGGAAGUUUCUGAAGAACUUGUAGCAGACCAAGCUGAGCCAGAACAAAAUGUUUCGAAAAUGGACAUUGAUGAUGAACCAGUCAGAGGAACAAGAUCAUUGACUGAGAUUUAUGAAAGGGCUCAUGUAGCCAUAGCUGAACCAAGCAACUUUGAAGAGGCUGAAGCUCAACAAGGGUGGAUGCUGGCUGAGGAGAUCAGCAUGAUUGAGAAGAACCAGACCUGGGAAUUGGUUGAAAGGCCAGUCAAAAGGAAGGUGAUUGGGGUGAAAUGGGUGUACAAAGCCAAGCAGAAUGCUAAUGGAACCUUGAACAAACUGAAAGCAAGGCUAGUUGUCAAGGGGUUCAGUCAGAGGUAUGGCCUGGACUACCUGGAAACCUUUGCACCAGUGGCCAGGCUCGACACCAUCAGACUGCUGAUUGCCUUAGCAGCACAGCUCGAAUGGAAGAUCCAUCAACAUAAUGUGAAAUCAGCCUUUCUGAAUGGUUUCUUAGAUGAAGACAUCUAUGUUGAACAACCACAAGGGUUUGAAAUAGCUGGCAGAAAGCAUAUGGUCUACAAACUGAAGAAGGCCCUAUAUGGCUUGAAACAGGCUCCAAGAGCCUGGUACAGCAGAAUCGAUGGCUACUUGACUGCUUUGGGAUUCGAUCGAAGCAAGAGUGAGCCAACACUGUAUGUCAAGAAGCAAGGGACACAAACACUACUCAUUGUGUCCCUGUAUGUUGAUGACCUGCUGGUGACAGGAGGAGAUCGAGCAGUGCUGGUCGAUUUCAAGACCAAAAUGCACGAAGUAUUUGAAAUGUCUGAUCUAGGGGAAAUGUCCUACUUCCUGGGAAUGGAGGUGACUCAAACACAGAAGGGGAUAUUUCUAAGUCAGAAGAGCUUUGCCACAAAGAUUCUGACCAAGUUCUCCAUGCAAAAUAGCAAGGCAACUAAGACACCUAUUGCUGUUGGAGAAAGACUAUCGAGCCAAGGUGAUUUUGAGAAGGUAUGUGAAACUACCUACAGGAGUCUAGUUGGUUGUUUGCUAUACUUGACUGCCACUAGGCCGGACAUAAUGUAUGUUGUAUGAUUGCUCUCAAGGUUCUUACAUUGUUGCAAUGAGAAGCAUUUCCAAGCUGCCAAGAGAGUGCUCAGAUAUGUCAAGGGCACUUUGGACUAUAGUUUAAGGUACAACAAGGAAGGAAAUCUAAAGCUAGUUGGACACUGAUAGUGACUGGGCUGGCUCGAUAGAUGACAUGAAAAGCACCUCAGGGUAUACUUUUAACCUUGGUUCAGCCAUGUUCUGUUGGAGCUCGAAGAAACAAAGCCUGGUGGCUCAAUCAACUGCAGAGGCAGAGUAUGUGGCAGCUGCAAGUGCUGUCAAUCAAGCCAUCUGGCUAAGGAAAAUCUUAAUUGAUUUGAAUGCUCAACAGAAGGAAGCAACUGAGAUCUUCUGUGAUAACCAAUCUGCAGUUGCAAUUGCUAAAAAUCCAGUGUUCCAUGGAAGAACAAUGCAUUUUAGCAUCAAGUUGCAUGUUAUUCGAGAAAUGGAGCAAGCUCAGGAAGUGAAACUGAUCCACUGUAAUUCUGAGGAUCAACUUGCAGACAUUUUGACUAAAGCUCUUAAUGUCACAAGGUUCGAAUGUCUAAGAAUGAAGCUAGGUGCUUGCUCCAUACAAACCAAGGAGGAGUGAAGAAGUUGGUUCAGCAUGCAGCAAACUCUCGAAAGCAUGCAGGCCAUGAAGACCAAGUUGUGCAGGAGCUGCUAAUUCAAGCUGUUUUUGUUCAUUUUGUAAUAUUUAGUCAAUGAAACGUAAUCUAGUUCAUUUAGAACUAUGUUAGGUAGAUGAUUGAUGUAAUUUGCUGACAUAUGAGCUGUUAAUUCAGCUUUGCUUGUAUACACAAGCUAAUUACUUCAAGUUUCAAUGCUUAGUGGUGUUAGGCAACCAUUAGGUGUAUGUUUACUAUUUUUGACAAGCUUAGUGCUUGGUUUAUGUAUUGGCAUUGUGCCAUUAUUCAAUUUAUGAAUGAAACCAGUUUGUUCAUCAACUUUCACUCUAUUUUUCUUAGUUUUUCUUCUUUUCUUUUGCUUGAAUUCUCUUGUUUGCUCAGUAAGUCUCGAGGCUUGCUCGACAAGUCUGUGCUGAGUCUGUUAGUUUCUGUUGUUGUUCCAACACAUUCCAAUUUUUGUUGGAAGAGUCCUAACACUUUUGCAAUCUCUUAAAUUCAAAAGUUUAAGGCUCUUAAGCACCCGGAUUGAUGGAUGAACAUCAACUAAUUUGGUACAACCUUCCAAAAUCAAAACUUCAAGAUUUGAUGCGGUUGUGAAGUCUGGUGUUUUGAUCAGGUUUUGAGACCCUCUGAUGUUCAUUAUUUUCAAGUUAAACAAGGGCUGUUGAAGACCAUAAUAAAUUAGAAACAAAUGAGAAAACAUAAUAACGCUCAUUUUUUUUGUUUUACCUUAAUCAAAGUUUAAUAAUUUUUAUUAAAAUAAGCUAAAACAUAAAGAUAAGAUGAGUUAAUUCUUACUUUAUUUCCCUUCCAUAGUUGUUGAAUGUGACUAUAUGGUAAAAGAAGUGCGACAAGGUUGUCCGGUUGAAAGCUUGAAGGCAAGUAUCCUAAAGGGUAUCCUAUCCAAUCUAAAAGUCGUAGUUCAUUAGAAAGAUAUUUGAGAUCAUUACAAUUUGAAAGGCAAAGCACUUUGAGCAAUCUCAGUUUUUUCAUCUUCAAGAAGGUAUCCACACUCAAAUUGAGCAUCUUGAUCGAUUCCCUAAUAUCCAUGAGGAAAACAAAAAUGAGCUUCAAAAUAUAUAAAAACAUUCAAUAUCUAAAAGAAAUGUUGCAUCGAUAUUGUUUUUUAAGUACUCGUAUCCAAUAUUUAUAUCUAAUGCACAUUCGUAUAUGGGUUUUAAGAUAUGAUCCUUUAAGAACCUUUUAAAUACAUGAAAAAAAUAAUUUUUAAUUUUUUUUACUAUAUCCAUAUUAAAGAGAUACUUAUAUCUAACAAUCACAUCCGAUGUUAAAUUACCUAAUCCUAAAAAAUUGAAUAAAUAUUGUGAUUUAUAUUUAGUUUGCAAACAAUGCAUAAUUUACAAGUUAAUGAACCAAACAACGACACAUAAUUAAAAAUGAAAACCAUUUUCAUUAAAAAAAUUUUGAUGACAUGUUAUAAUCCAAUUCGUUGAUAUACACUUUUAGUACAUUAAAUAUAUACAAAUAAUUUUCACAAAAAAAAUAUACCAUUAAUAUUUCAAAAAUACAUACAUUUCUCAUUUGAUUCUUUUGAAAAAGUAAAUAUGUUGCUAGAUAAAUUUCAUAAUUAAACAUUGAAAUAUUAAAUGUCAAAAGUUUUGCUAUAGUUUUUUUAUCAUAUUUAAAAAUAAUAAUUAUUUACAGCACACACAGAUAUAAGUUUAUGUGUGUCUUCUUAUCUUUUAUUAUCGAUGAUUAUGCCUUCAAUCAUUUCUGUAGCCUAAAAAAAUUUAAGAACAGACAAUAAGAAAAUAAAAUAAAUGGUGAAUAAUGUAGGAUAAAAAAGAAAUAGUAUGUAACUUUUGUUGAAUGACUUGCUGUGUUUUUUGUUAGGACAUGAUGGACGUCCCUUUUCUCCCACAAUCUACAACGUUUUCUAGGUUCAUCAACACAUUUUUCUUUAACAAUUGUUCUUCCCAUUUCUUGCAACAAGCUAUGCCUCCACAAAUAUUGGUUGCCAUCAUCGAAUUUUAUUAAAGAUUUCUUAAUGAGAACAUCAAUUCCAAUAUCGGGGACAAACUCACAACUAUCCAAUACUUUCAUUACAAAAUCUUUCUUCUCCGCAUUAAAGAAGCAUGCUAUAUCUUAAAAUAUAUUCUUCUCCCUUUCUUCUAAUCCAUGAAGUUUAUCAAGAAUUCCUUUAUUAGAAUCUCUUUUAAGUCUUUCAAUCGCACUUCUCCAUUGAGUCGCAUCUUUACCCCAAAAAAAGGAACCAAAAACUUCAAGAGCUAAAGGGAGUCCACCAGCAUAAUUUACAACAUGUUUAGAAAGCUCAAUGAAAUCAUCUUUCUGCACUGUAUCACUAUGAAAAGCUUUCAGACUGAAAAGUUGAAACGCAUCUUUGGGAUUCUGUGUUGUGGGCAUAUACACAUCAUUAACUUGGCAACAUCGAAGCAAAUGUUCGUCUCUUUUUGUUACAAUGUUUCUACUCCCUAAUCCAAACCAAUCAUGCCUUCCAACCAAGCAUUUUAGGUGUUGUAUGUUAUCAACAUUAUCAAGAACAACAAGAACCUUUUUGUGAGACAACCUAUGGCUAAUUAUUUUAUUUCCUUCAUGAACAUUGAAAAAGUUGAAGCAUUCACCAUGAAAGAUCUGUGAAAGAAGUUGUUUCUGUAAAGAAACUAGUCCGCAUUUGUCUGAAACUUCUCGAAUAUCAGCAAUAAAGCUUUUACCUUCAAAAUGAGGUGACAUUUGAGUGUAAGCAACUCUUGCGAGUGUCGUUUUACCGAUGCCACCCAUUCUGUAAAUUCCUAUAACGCGGACAUCAUCUUCCCCAAUGUUUAUUUUCAAAUACAAAUCCUCCAAGCGUUCACUAAUACCAACCAAGUCGCUAUGACUAACUGGAUAUGUCUGACUAGUUUUGCCGAUAUCUUCCUAACAAUGUCUCAAAUAAAUUCUGAUUCGUGCCUAAAAAAAAAGAAAUUUUAAUGUUUUGAGUAAAAUUUUGUUGAUAUGUUUCGAAUGCACUUUCUUUUUCAAUGAAUCAUGAAACAUAAUAUAGUUUGGAAGCAAACAAGAACCAAGAAUAAGAAAGCAAGAUCUGUUGCCGAGCCAGAAGACAAAAUUUGCUCUUUUAUUUAAAUAUGACACUUUUCAAUUAAACACACUGGAUUAGAAAAAAAAUGUUAUACAUACAUACAUACAUAUAUAUAUCCAAAAAACUAGAAAAUAGAGAAGAAAAGAAAGAAUUACCUUUUAUUUAAAUGCCAUCCCUUGAUUGCAGCCACUUGAAUCAAAGCAUUUCGCCACCUUUGGAUCUUCUCACUUUCUUCUUUGUAUCUCUCUUCAUGUCUGGCAAAGGCUUCUUCCACUUUCCCUUUUUGUUUUCUUAAAUCAGAUGGAUCAACAUCGUAAAAAAUUGGAAACACUUUAUGGUCGUCGUUGUUAUGUUGUUGAACAAUCUCAGCAAGCUCCUCCAAGCACCAACUUGAAAAGGCAUAGGUUUGUGAAAAAACGAUUACCGAGCACCAUGAUUGCUGAAUUGCUUUAAAGAGGUCUGGCGCGAUCUCUUCCCCGCUCCCAGCACCAAAUCCCCAAAUCCCCUAUCUAUCGAAAUCCCCAACCAGUAAGAGGCAGAGAGAGCAGUUUGUCGAUUUCUUACCCGCCAUUCUUCAAUUGGUUUAUUCCUUACAAGGAAAAGCUUCAGUGUUUCGGUUUCUUUCAUACUUUCAUAACCCAGACAGUGAAGACGAAGAAGGUUCGAUUUUUUAAAGUUCGAUUUUUUUCUUUGCCCGUGUAUUUAAACUUUGGGUUUUCUUGUUUUUGUAAAUUUUUUUGUUUGUAAUUUGUUGAUGAGCCUGAAAUUAAGUGAAAUCGUCUUCUCUGUGUAUAGGGUUUUCGCUUCUUUCAUUUAGCUUCAUCGUCGCCAAGGUAAUGUUUUCAUUUCUCGGUUUAUUUUGUGUUCAUUUGUCUCCAUCGUCGUCUUCUCGGUUUAUGGGACGUAUUCUGUAAUGCUUUCAUUUCUUUUAUAUAGGUAAUGCUUUCAAUUGUUUGGAAUAAAUGUGUUGUUGUUGGUGACGAUAGGUUGGAAAUGAGUUGGAGUUUAGCAUAGAUUAUGUUGACAGCCUUGGAGGAAUUUUAGGGCUUACUGUCUCUUUAUGUUUCUUUAUUUUGCUUACUGUCUUGUAAAUAUCAUUUUAUUUUGCUGCUGACUGUCUGCUUUAUGUUUCUUUCCAUAGGUGUAGAGAUUUAUUAUUUGAUGAAUGUAGUGGGGACUUUGCUUAAAUCACAAAUUUUAUGUAUUUUUUUGGUUUUCUUUCUUGAAAUUCAAUUCUUUUACUUGGUAACAGAUCUUGCAGCUUAGAAAGGAAUAUGAACGCAUAAUUUUUUGUGUCUCUAUUUUCUGUUUUCUCUUUUCUAUUUCUGUUUCUGUACCAUUUUUGCUUGUGUAGCUUAAUUUAUUAUCAAUGAACAGCAUGUUAUCUUUUUAUAUUUUUUUUAUUCUUUUACACAAAUAGUAACACUUCUUUUAUUUUAAUAUGUAUUUUAUUUUAUUUUAUUUUAUAAUACUUAAACUAUUAUUUUGUUAUAUAUUUUAACCCAACGAUACUGGAAAAUCAUAGCACGUGAAGCUAUUAAAAAAAGUAAAAUUUCUAUAACAGAAUUUAAUUUUUUUAAGAGAAGUAUAUUAAAAUUCAAAAUAAUAUUUGUGCAACGAUGAUAAACGCCAGCCAAAGUCAAUUAUUUGGUAUGCUUGCAUGUUUUACUUAAUUUAUAUUCUCGAAAUUUUAAAAUAAAUGAAACCCAAUUGUUAGGGGAUUUUGAUUUUGACCAUCCAUCUUUUAUAUCAUAACUUACAUAACUUACAUAAUACACAACUUACAUAACUUACAUAAUACAUAACUUACAUAAUUUACAUAAUACAUAAAUUUAUAUCAUAUCAGUGGUUAUAUAACUUAUUUAUACUUAUAAAUGAACAACUUACCAGUGUAAUUUAUUGUCAACAUCAGACUUCAAACAUUAAGAAAUGGAUCGAUCUUGGAUGAAUUUGUCAAGUGUAAGCAACGGUUAUCGGAAUGGAGUACAAACUUUUUUAGAUUUUGCAUUUCAAUAUGCAAGCCAAGAGAACAUGAUUCUUUGCCCGUGUAAGAAGUGUGUCAACAUCAACUAGUAUUAUUGUGAAGUUGUAUACGAGCAUCUAGUUGUUGAUGGGUUUAUCCGAGGUUAUAAAAAAUGGAUUUUCCAUGGAGAAUGCACAUCGAGUACUUCCUCUUCAACGAUGGAUGUAUCUUAUCCUGGUAGUGCUUACCAUCGGUCUGUUAGAGGAGAUGACAUGGAAGGUAUGUUUCGGGAUGCAUUUAAUAUGCACAAUCAUGGUUUCCAAUCGUUCCCAGCCGACUUUGUGGCAUAUGAUGAUUGUAAUCUCGGUGAAAAUGCUUUUACUGGAACAGGAAGAAGUGUACCUUAUGAAGAGCUGAAUGGAGAAGCGGCAAAGUUCUAUGCGCUACUUAAUGAAAUGAACGAAGAACUUUAUGUGGGAUCAAAAUUUUCAAAAAUGUCCUUCUGUAUUCAUCUUUUUCAGUUAAAAUGUUUGGGAGGGUGGACCAAAAACUUUUUGACAAUGCUGUUAGAGUUUUUGAGAGAUAUGUUUCCGUUUGCGAAAAUCUCUCACUCAUGCAAAGAUAUGAAGAAAUUCAUAAAAGAUUUAGGUCUUGGGUACAACAAAAUUCAUAGUUGCCCAAAUGACUGCAUGUUGUAUUGGGGUGAUUGGAAAAACCAACAGUGUUGUCAUGUAUGCGGCCAAUCCCAUCGGAUGAAUAGAAACACAGAUGAUAGGAAUGACGAUGAAAAUGAAACACAGUCAAGGAAGAAGCCAAAUAAGAUUUUCUGAUUUUUCCGCUAAAACUAAGGCUUCAAAGGCUUUUCAUGUGGUCGAAGACAGCCGAGUCGAUGACAUGGCACCAUUAUGGACGAACCAAUGAUGGAUUACUAAGGCAUCCGGUGGAUUCUUUAUCUUGGAAAUCAUUUGACAGUAAAUUUCUAAGCUUUGCAAGCGAUCCUAGGAGUGUAAGACUUGGGCUAGCAUCUGAUGGAUUUAAUCCUUACAAGAUCAUGAGCACUACGUACAGUACUUGGCCUGUAGUGCUUGUUCCUUACAAUUUGCCUCAAUGGAUUUGCAUGAAGCAAUCUUCCCUUAUCUUAUCUAUGAUUAUCCUGGAGAGAAAGGUCCCGGGAAUGAUAUCGACAUUUAUUUACAGCCACUUAUUGAAGAGUUAAAACAAUUGUACUCUGAAACACCCCUAGAGACUUAUUUGACAUGGGCAAUGGAAGUAGAGAUGACAUCAUCGAAAGAUCAGAAACUUUGCCUUUUCCAGAACAAAACUUAAAUGAAAAUAUCCCUAGUACUAGUACACAAUUUCAAUGGGUUCGUCAGGAGUAGUAAGAUUUUACGAGUUUUUAAAUAUAUUUUGUUUAUAAUUUUAAUAUUGCUAAUGUUAUAUAAUUUAACUAUUUUAAAUGUACUAUUAUUGUUGUAAUUUGUUACUAAAAUUUCAACUAUCUUAUGUGUAUUGCAGGAAAAAUGCGCAGAAGAAGAUUACAAAAUUUAAGUAUUGUCUGAAAUACUCCAAAUUUCGAAGAAGGAAAUAGUGAACAGCAGACAGUUAUUGGAUCUUCGAAUGUGCCGGAGACAGUUGAUGAGCCUGCAGAAUUUCAAAGUAAUGUUAAGUUUAUUUUACAUGCGUGUUGACUUUUAUUAUUGCCCGUAUUUCUCAAUUUCAAUGUAUAUAAUAAUAUAUUAUUUUCUAGCUGAAAGUGGUGGGACGCGCAAAGGUUGAGGACAUACGUUACUUAAAGAUUUAUACGAUUUAAAUCCUGUCGAGCGUGUCAAAGUAGGUAGAAACAGUCAUGGUCAGCCUGUUGGAUCAGAAGCUCGACUUUUAGCAGGCUAUUUGGGCAUUAUAGCAUGAAAUGCCAAUAUGUUGCCCAUCAACUAUGAAUCAUGGCAUCACAUGCCUGAUAGCAACAAAAAUCAAGCUUUCGAUAAUAUUAAGGUAACAAAACGUGAAUGUAAUUUAUAUACUUUGCUUUAAGUUUCUUUUAUAUUUACUUUCUAAACUUUUGUUUUUUAGGAGAGAUUUGCUUUACUGGUCUCCGAUGCCUAUAUCAAGAAGGCAUUAGGUAAAAAAUGGAGAGACCAUAAGAGCACUUUGAAAAAAGAAUAUUUUAAGAAAGACAUAAGCCUCGAAGAAAAAUUACGAUAUGUCCCGCCGGGAAUGCUGAGGUACCAAUGGGAAGAUGCGGUUAGAUUUUGGAAUUCAAAGAAAGGAGAGAUAUUACCUACUUCCAAACUCUUAUAAACUUUUCGGUUUAUAGUAUUUACUAUAUAAGUAUUAAUAAUUUCAUUAUGUAGGACCGUGAGCAAGUUGGAACAACUAGCAAGCAAAAACAAAAAUUCACGCACACGCCAGGGUCGAGAAGUUUUGCUUGUGUAGAUGAGGCUGAGGUAUUAUGAAUUUAUUAAUUCUGUCAAUUAUUAAUUAGUUUCUACUAUUAAAUAAUAUUUUUUAUACUAUAUUGUAGGAAGCCUUGUCUGGUUAAAAAGUUGGACGCGUUUAACUUUUUGACAUUACUCAUAGGAAGAAAGAUGGAUCUCCGAUGACAUCCGAAGUUGGAGAAAUUAUGGUAUAUUUACUUAAUAAAUUUUUAUUUAUUAUAAAUAUUUAUAAUGUUUAAUUAUAAUGGUUUAAUUCGUCGUUAGUAGUUUUAAAUAAUGUUAAUUUAUGUUGUAUUCCUUUUUAUUAAAUAUUUCGUUUCUAACUCUUUAAUUUAUUUUUUUCGAAGAAACUAAAAGAUAAGAAAGCGGAGUAUGAAGCGAUUGCUUCAAUUGAUAGUUCUGUUAAUUUUAAGGACAUCGAUAACAUAAUUAUUAAUGAAGUUUUGGGUCUUAAAAGGUAUGGUCGGGUUCGAUUUCAAGGAUCUGGUGUUAUCCCGACCCAAUAUUUUGGAUCCAGCUCGCAGCACUACAUGCCUUCCGGGAGUCAAGCUCAAGCUAAAGUUCAAAGGUUAAGAGAGCAGAUAACUCAGAUGACUGACAUGCAAGAUAACACAAUUGAGCAAAUUGCUCAACUUAAAGCAGAUGCAGCAGCGAGGGAGGCGGCGGCAGCAGCGAGGAAGGCGACGGCAACAGCGAGGGAGGCAGAGCAAAAUAGAAAGUACGAUGAACUCCAGUAACAGCUUCAGACUAUGAUGAAGAUGUUCCAGUAGUCGCAAAUGCCGCCAUCUUAGACAUGUGUUUUAUUCUAACUUUUAACAUUAUUGUAAGAAUAUUUUAAAUUAUAUUUCAUUUAUAAAAUAUAUCAUAUAUCUUUUGUAUAAUUUAGAUUUACUAUGUUUGGUUGGAUUUUCGCAAAAAUAUUUGCUGUUUUUGGUUGAAUUUUAUGUAGGAAGGGUUGGAAUUGGUGAAAAAUGUGGGCUAACAAAUAUACCUAAACUAGCGGCGUUUGUAAAAAAAACGCCGCUAAUGGCUAAGACUUAUAGCGGCGUUUGCAAAAAAAGCGUCACUAAAGGCCAAGACUUAUAGCGGCGUUUGUAAAACAAAAGUGCCGCUAAAGGCCAAGACUUUUAGCGGCGUUUGUAAAAAAAAUGCCGCUAAAGGCCAAGACUUAUAGCGGCAUUUUCACUAAAAGCGCCCCUAAAGAUCCUGGCUUUUGUGGCAUUUUUUCAAAAAGCGCCACUAAAAGUCAGGAUCUUUAGCGGCGUUUUUUCAUAUAAACGCCAUAAAGUUUUCCGGCAUUGUCAAUAGCAGCAUUUUUCCCGGCGCUUGUGAAAGCGCCACAAAUAGUUUUAGCGGCACUUAUAAGUGCCGCUAAAGGCAAAAAAAAAAAACGCCGCUAAAAGUCUAUUUUCCUGUAGUGAUAUUAGUGCAUACUUUAUAUUCAUAUUUGAAUAAAUAUUAAAAAUAAAUGUCUAAACAUAAAUAUUUUAUAAAGAAAACAUAAACUGAGGAGUUGGAAUAAUAUUUUUUGUACUUCAAGCCAUGAAAUUUAAAUGGUACUUUAUUAGAAGGGAUUAAAUCUAUUUAAGUACCUUUAAGAUUUAUUUUUAAUCUUUCAAAUAUAUAAAAAUAGUUUUGACUAAUUAAAUUGAACACAUAAGUUGGUCUCUAAUAAAAAUAAAAUAAUUUUUAACUCAGUUGAAAUUAUGAUCGAUCCUUAUUAAAGGAUUCUCAUUUUAUUAUUACUUGCUUCGUCUCCAUUUUUGUCUCACAAUUUUGUUUUAAUUUACCUCAUCUUCAACCUAUAAAUAAAAUAUAGAUGUAAGUGAAUAUAUAGUGGAAAUAAAAUUUUAAUAGAAAAAAUGUGAAACCAAUCAAAAUGUACACAUUUCGAUUAUGUAAAAAGGAAUGAAUUAAGUGACUAAAAUUUUAAAUGGUAUAAAACAUUUGAGAUAUGUACAUGUUGAAUAUGAGUAUGAAGGAUAUAUCACAUACGCAAAAAAAAUUAAUGGGACAAGUUUGGUUAAGUAGUUUACCACAGUUAAUGCUUCUUUCUUGAUUGGCCCUUUACAAAAUUGAAAAUAUUUUGCAUCCGUUUUGGUUGCGGCUCUUCUUCCUCCGUUUCCUCAUAGAUAUUACGUUUCCGUUUUAUGUGAGAACUGCUACCUACUGAUCCAUGGUUGAGAGCAAAGUGUUGCUGGAUGUGUUCAAAAUUUGGAGAAGAUGGAGUGGUAUGGCACUGCAACUCUUUUAUUUCUUCCAAAUCUUUCUCGUACACUAUUCUAACACCACACUUCUUUACCUUAAUAUAAGGGUCACCAGGUCCAAAUUCGGCACUGAAAGACAACUCAAGCUCAUCGCAUAGUUGAUCUAAACAAUCUGUUGUCCAUAAAUUAUUGGUUCCACAGUCACCAUAUUUAUCCUCCAAGGAAAAUGGAUAUGAUUGAUCACGCGGAAAAUAACGAAGUAAAAGGUGAUCUUUCAUUAUGGGCUUGUCAAAGCGUUGAGCUACACACCGGUUUCUCUGACAAAUUGGUUGACAAUUUUUACCUCGAAAAAUAGAUCCAUCACAGAGGAUAUACUCGUUCCUUGAAGCAUCAUUAUUGACAAAAAUGCAGCAACAAGCAACUCCAAUCCAUUGACUAUCUUUCCAAAGGUUGAUAGGUAGGGGUAUCUUAAUUGAAAAGUCACUUUUUUGUUGGCUAAACCAUUCUGGAAUUUCACUUCCAGGCAUCAUAAUUGUUGGUGCAAGAGGCAGCAGCAAGCUGAUUUCAGCUUUGCUUAAACAGCAAGUCUCUGCAAUGAUUUGUUGCAGCAGAAACAAUCAAGGAAGAAAAAAAAACUUACAAUGGAAAACAGAAAAGAAAGAGAGAGAUUUGAAUGAAAAUGAGCUGAAUCUUCAUUAAAAUUUUAAGAAGACAUGAUGCCAAUACAUAUAAGGGAUUACAAUAGCAAAACAAACAAGUUACCACCUAAUAACUUACCUAACACCACUAAUUUGCCUAGUAACUUGGUAAACUUGUUUGAAUACAUAAACAUCUACCUAAACUUGUCAUUCAUCACUUAGUUACAUCAAAAUGCAGCUACCAACUAAGUUUGAUCCUAACUAAAUACAAAACAUUCAUUUGAAGAAACUAAAUGAACAGCUUCAGCUUGCUGCACCAAUUUGCUAUUGAAGCACGUUCCCUGCAUGGCCACCUUUGCUGCUGCAUGGGAGCUGACUUCAACACUCCUCCUCAGCUUCUAUGCAGCAGACUCCUAGUUCCCUCUUUAGGCUUAGAAAUCUUGAUACACCAAGAGACUUUGUGAAGAUAUCAGCAAUCCGAUUUUCAGAGCUGCAAUGAAUCAGCUCAAUUUCUCGAGCUUGUUCCAUCUCCCUUAUCACAUGCAGUUUAAUAUCGAAGUGUUUUGUCCUACCAUGGAAGGCAGGAUUUUUGGCAAUAGCAACUGCUGACUUGUUGUCACAAUGUAUCACAGUUGCUUCAUUCUGGUGUAGGUUUAAAUCACUCAAAAUUUUUCUCAGCCACACAGCUUGAUUAACAGCAUUAGCAGCUGCUACAUACUCAGCUUCGGCUGUUGACUGAGCCACCAUUGUUUGUUUUCUUGAGCUCCAACAAAUCAUUGCAGAGCCAAGUGUAAAAGUAUAACUAGAGGUGCUCUUCAUGUCAUCUUUUGAACCAGCCCAAUCGCUGUCUGUAUAGCCAAUCAAUUUCAACUCCUUGACCCUUUUGAAACAUAUACCAUGGUUCAAGGUACCUUUGAUAUACCUCAGAACCCUUUUUCCUGCUUUGUAAUGCUGCUGAUUACAGCAAUGCAUGAAUCGUGACAGCAUGCUCACAGCAAAUAGAAUAUCAGGUCUUGUUGCUGUCAAAUACAACAAACAGCCAAUAAAGCUUCUAUAAUCUAUUUCACAGACAGAUUCAUGUUCCUCUUGGCUCGAUAGCUUCAUGCCAAUAGCCAUUGGUGUGUUCAUUGGUUUACAAUUCUCCAUUGAGAAUUUAUCCAGCACUUUCAAGGCAAAUGUCUUUUGUUUCAAGAGGAUUCCUCCUUCUACUUGAUUGACUUCCAUUCCUAGGAAAUAUGUCAUCAAUCCCAGGUCUGACAUCUCAAACAUUUCCUUCAUUUUUGUUUUGAAAUUAGCCAACAUAAACUUGUCUCCUCCAGUCACUAGAAGAUCAUCAACAUACAGUGACACAAUAAGCUGUGUUUCAGCUCCAUUCCUCUUAACAUAGAGUGUUGGCUCACUAGCACUCCUUUCAAAUCCCAAACUGACCAGGUAUGAUUCAAUUCGAGCAUACCAGGCUCGAGGGGCCUGUUUUAGGCCAUACAAGGCCUUUCUUAGCCUAUACACCAAAUGUUCCUUACCAGGCAUUAUAAAACCUAGGGGUUGCUCGAUAUAUAUCUCCUCUUCUAAGAAUCCAUUGAGGAAUGCAGACUUGACAUCCAUUUGGUGGAUUGUCCACUGGUUCUGAGCAGCAACUGCAAUCAGUAAUCUGAUUGUAUCGAGUCUGGCUACUGGAGCAAAUGUUUCCAAGUAGUCCAGACCAUACCUUUGACUGAAGCCCUUCACAACUAGCCUAGCCUUUAGCUUGUUUAAACUUCCAUCUGCAUUGUGCUUCACUCGAUAGACCCAUUUUACACCAAUGGUCUUUCUGUUGGCAGGCUUUUUAACCAACUCCCAUGUCUGGUUCUUCACAAUCAUGUUGAUUUCAUCAACCAUAGCCUGUUUCCAACCUUCAUCUGCUUCAGCUUCUUCAAAACUACUAGGUUCUGCUAUAGCAGCUUGUGCUCUUUCAUAAAUCUCAUCUAGGGGUCUUGUGCCUCUCACAGGCGCAUCAUCAACAUCCAUUUCAGGACCAAGGUGCUCGAGUUCAGCUUGAUUAGGCACCAGGUCUUCUGAAGUAGCUUCUGGUUUACUCUUUUCCCAAUUCCAGCAAGCCUUCUCAUCGAAGAUGACAUCUCUGCUCACUUGGACUUUGUUUGUCAAAGGAUCCAGCACCCUGUAGCCCUUCUUAACUGAGCUAUAGCCUAUAAGAACACUUGGUUGAGCCCUUUCAGAGAGCUUGUCUCUGUUUGCUGCUGGUAUUUGUGCAUAACACAGGCAACCAAACACUUUCAGAUGUGCCAAUGAAGGCUUGAAACCGAACCAAGCCUCGAAAGGUGUCUUGGAUGUAGGAAGCCUAUUUUGAAGGUAGACAGCAGUGUUUACUGCCUCAGCCCACAUGGUCUUGGGUAGUUUCUUCUCAAACAGCAGGCACCUGGCCAUAUCCAUCAAGCUUCUGUUCUUUCUUUCUGAUACCCCAUUCUGCUGAGGUGUGUAGACAUUUGUAAGCUGGUGUUUGAUACCAGCAUCAUUGCAAAUGGCUUGAAACUGAGCUGAAGUGUACUCAGUGCCAUUGUCUGACCUUAUCGAUUUCAGCUUGCAACCUGUUUCUGUCUCUACUGUAGUUUUAAACUUCACAAACACUUGAGCUACCUCAGACUUGUGUUUUAAGAAGAAAAUCCAGCAAAACCUAGUAAAAUCAUCAAUGAAGAGGAUGAAAUAACUAUUUUUGCUGAGUGAUUCAGUCCUCAUUGGGCCACAUACAUCAGAAUGCACCAGCUGCAGUCUUUCAAAAGCUCUCCAAGCUGAAUUUGUAGGAAAUGGCAGUCUUGCCUGUUUCCCCAUUUGGCAAACUUCACACACAUCAUCAUGCUUUACUGAGCUGGUAAAGUUUUCUGCCAAGCCCUCUUUGGCCAUUCGAGCCAGUGAUCUGAAGUUGGCAUGUCCGAGCCUUUGAUGCCAAAGCUUGGAAUCAUCAACAGAAGCUGUGUAUGCUGACUUUGAGUCAUUUGGCCAGUGCACCUCAAAGCAUUUGUCAGUCAUUGUGACUUUCAUAAGGCUUGAUCCACUUGGAUCAGCAAUCUGGCACUGUUUGUCCUUGAACACAACAGAAUAGCCUUUCUCGAGCAAUUGAGCUAUGCUGAGAAGGUUUCUGUCAAUCUCAGGCACCAAAAGCACAUUUGGAAUAAUCUUGUUGCCUGUAGGAGUACUUAUCAGCACCUCUCCUCUUCCUUCAGCCCUUAUGAACUGACCAUUUCCAACCUUGACCUUGGUUUUGCAACUUCUAUCCAAGGUUUUAAACAAGGAGUCAUCUGGUGACAUGUGGUUAGUGCAACCACUGUCCAAUAACCAGCCUUUUGAGCAUUUCUUCUCAGCAGCUAAGCAAGACACAGCAAAGACCUGCUCUUCUUGGUCACUACUGUCCUCAGCUACUCGAGCUUCAACCUUUAGUUGUUGAAAUUGGCUCUGCCUUGGCUUGGUUCUAUUUUUGCAAACCCUUUCAACAUGGCAUUUCUUCUUGCAGUAUUGGCAUACUGCAUCUGGCCUGAACCAGCAUCUGCCUUCUGGAUGACCUGGCCUUUUGCAAUGUCUGCAGGGCUGGUCAUUGCUCCUUGCAGCAUCAGGCUUAGGUCUGCUUUUCCAAGGCUUUUUUUCUCUUGGAGCAUUGAUGCUCGAGGCUUCUCCGGCCUUGGCAUUGAAUGCACCUUCCUGGUUGUCUUCAGUUCUGCUAGCUCUCCUUUGUUCCUGAGCAUGGAAUGUGUUGAUUAGCUCAGUCAAAGAGAUGGUAGCAAGGUCUCUUGAGUCCUCUAGAGAGGAUAUCUUGGCCUCAUAUCUCUCAGGCAAAGUGGAGAGGACUUUCUCCACUAUCCUUGCCUCAUCAAAGUGCUCACCAAGGAGCCUUAUACUGUUAACCACUGCCAUGAUUCUGUCUGCAUACUGCUUCACUGUUUCUGCUUCCUUCAUCUUCAGGUUCUCGAAAUCCCUUCUCAAAUUCAACAGCUGUUGUUGCCUUGUUCUCUCAGUGCCUUGAAACUCCUCCUUAAGCUUAUCCCAGGCCUAUUUUGGAGUCUCACAGGCCAUGAUUCUGGUGAAGAUGACAUCUGACACACAGUUCUGGAUGCAGGACAUGGCUUUGUGCCUUUUGGUCCUCUCAUCAGCAUGUUGCCUGAUCUGAGCUACUGUGGGAUUAGCCCUCAGUGGUGCUGGCUCAGCAUCUGUGUUGACAACUUCCCACAGAUCGAAGGCCUGUAGGUAAGUCUUCAUCUUAACCAGCCAUAUGUGAAAGCCUUCUCCAUUGAAGACUGGUGGGGCUGCUGGUGAAAAUCCUGAAGAAGCCAUCAGGUUCCUUGGUUUGAAGCAACAGGUCCACUAAGACAAGGGCUCUAGAUACCAAUUAUUGGUGCAAGAGGCAGCAGCAAGCUGAUUUCAGCUUUGCUUAAACAGCAAGUCUCGAGGCUUGCAGCAGAAACAAUCAAGGAAGAAAAAAAACUUACAAUGGAAAACAGAAAAGAAAGAGAGAGAUUUGAAUGAAAAUGAGCUGAAUCUUCAUUAACAUUUUAAGAAGACAUGAUGCCAAUACAUAUAAGGGAUUACAAUAGCAAAACAAACAAGUUACCACCUAAUAACUUACCUAACACCACUAAUUUGCCUAGUAACUUGGUAAACUUGUUUGAAUACAUAAACAGCUACCUAAACUUGUCAUUCAUCACUUAGUUACAUCAAAAUGCAGCUACCAACUAAGUUUGAUCCUAACUAAAUACAAAACAUUCAUUUAAAGAAACUAAAUGAAUAGCUUCAGCUUGCUGCACCAAUUUGCUAUUGAAGCACGUUCCCUGCAUGGCCACCUUUGCUGCUGCAUGGGAGCUGACUUCAACAAUAAUAUCAACGAUGCCACCAUGAAAACGAUCUCUUGGAUAUCGAACCGCCUGCAAAAUAAACACAAGUCGUCUGGUAACUAAAACCAUAAAUUCUCAAGUAUGAGAUUUUGUAAGGGAGAAAAAAUAGAUUAAUAGACCUUAAUAUGUUCUUUCAGCAGUGUUAAUGCAUUGAUUUUCUCAGCCAAUUUGAAGCAGUUAAUGGCAGUAAUGCCACAACCCACUAAAUUGGAUACUUUUGAUGGACUUUCAACUACUUCAAGUGAAGAACAACCAUCUACCAGCACUUGUUUAUUUCUUGAUAGCGCAGGCAACAAUUUAAGCAUCUUGCAGUCUGACAAUUUAAGCCAAUACAGCCCGGAAUGUUGAGUAAGAGCCAAAGGAAUGGUGAUGAAAUUGUUACCACUAAGAUUAAGACAUUUCAAAGAGGAUAAACAAGAAAUAUCACUAUGACUAUCUGCUUCACCAACUGUGGACAUGUUGCAAUUUGACAAUAUAAGAUAUGAAAGCUCGAGAGUCGAGUGAUCAAGACACCUCAAAGAGGAUAAACCAGAAAUAUCACGUGGAAGAUCUCCUUCACAAAGAUUGCAAUCCCUUAGUUUUAGCUCUCUUAAAGAACUCAAACCUGACAACAAAGGCAACAUCCGAGCCAUGGGAUUCGUCCUUCUUCCUUGGAUUACCUUGAAAAGAGAAGGAAAAUUUGGUAGUAACUUAUAUGAUGGUCCCUUGCGCCCAUUGAAAGACAGAACUUUAAGAUUUUUAAAUUGAAAAAUGAAGGAUGGUGGUUCUGUUAUGGCUGUUUCACUCAAGUCGAGCUCUUCCAAAAACUUUGAUUGCUGCAAAUUCUCUGGUAAAUUUUCCACUCUAUAACAACCGGAAAGAUCUAGAGUUUUUAGACGUUCCAUUUUCCCAUCAAUCUCCGGAAACCUUACAAGACUUGAGCAACCCGAAAGAAUUAAUGUUUCAAGAGAUUCCAUUCCAAUUUUGGUUGGAAGAGUCCUAAGACUUUUGCAAUCUCUUAAAUUAAAAAGUUUAAGGCUGUUAAGCACCCGGAUUGAUGGAUGAACAUCCACUAAUUUGGUACAACCUUCCAAAAUCAAAACUUCAAGAUUUGAUGCUGUUGUGAAGUCUGGUGUCUUGAUCAGGUUUUGAGACCCUCUGAGGUUCAUUAUUUUCAAGUUAAACAAGGGCUGUUGAAGACCAUAAUAAAUUAGAAACAAAUGAGAAAACAUAAUAAUGUUCUCUUUUUUUUUGUUUUAACUUAAUCAAAGUUUAAUAAUUUUUAUUAAAAUAAGCUAAAACACAAGGAUAAGAUGAGUUAAUUCUUACUCUAUUUCCCUUCCAUAGUUGUUGAAUGUGACUAUAUGGUAAAAGAAGUGCGACAAGGUUGUCCGGUUGAAAGCUUGAAGGCAAGUAUCUUAAAGGGUAUUCUGUCCAAUCUAAAAGUCGUAGUUCAUUAGAAAGAUAUUUGAGAUCAUUACAAUUUGAAAGGCAAAGCACUUUGAGCAAUCUCAGUUUUUUCAUCUUCAAGAAGGUAUCCAUACUCAAAUUGAGCAUCUUGAUCGAUUCCCUAAUAUCCAUAAGCAAAACAAAAAUGAGCUUCAAAAUAUAUAAAAACAUUCAAUAUCUGAAAGAAAUGUUGCGCCGAUAUUGUUUUUUAAGUACUCGUAUCCAAUACUUAUAUCUAAUGCGCAUUCGUAUAUGGGUAUUAAGAUAUGAUCCUUUAAGAACCUUUUAAAUACAUGAAAAAAAUAAUUUUUAAAGUUUUUUAAUAUACCCAUAUUAAAGAGAUACUUAUAUCUAACAAUCACAUCCGAUGUUAAAUUACCUAAUCCUAAAAAAUUGAAUUAAUAUGUUGAUUUGUAUUUGGUCCGCAAACAAUGCAUAAUUUACAAGUUAAUGAACCAAACAAUGACACAUAAUUAAAAAUGAAACCAUUUUCAUUAAAAAAAAAUUGAUAACAUGUUAUAAUCUAAUUCGUUGAUAUACGCUUUUAGUACAUUAAAUAUAUACCAAUAAUUUUCACAACAAAAUAUACCAUUAAUAUUUAAAAAAUACGUACAUUUCUCUUUUGAUUCUUUUGAAAAAGUAAAUAUGUUGCUAGAUAAAUUUCAUAAUUAAACAUUGAAAUAUUGAAUGGCAAAAGUUUUGCUAUAGUUUUUUUUUUAUCAUAUUUAAAAACAAAAAUUAUUUACAGUACACAUAGAUAUAAGUUUAUGUGUGUCUUCUUACCUUUUAUUAUCGAUGAUUAUGCCUUCAAUUAUUGUUGUAGCCUAAAAAAUCAAGAACAAACAAUAAGAAAAUAAAAUAAAUGGUAAAUAAUGUAGGAUAAAAAAGAAAUAGUACGUAACUUUUGUUGAAUGACUUACAGUGUUUUUUCUUAGGACAUGAUGGACGUCCUUUUCCUCCCACAAUCUGCUACGUUUUCCAGGUUCAUUAACACAUUUUUCUUUAACAAUUGUUCUUCCCAUUUCUUGCAACAAGUCGUGCAUCUUCAAAUAUUUGUUGUGUUCAUCGACUUUUAGAAGAGAUUUUUUAAUGAGAACAUCAAUUCCGAUAUCAGGAAAAAACUCACAACCAUCUAAUACUUUGAUCACAAAAUCUUUCUCCUCCCCAUUGAAGAAGCAUGCUAUAUCUAAAAAUAUAUUCUUCUCCCUUUCUUCCAGUCCAUCAAAACUGAUUCGAAGUUUAUCGAGAAUUUCUUUAUUAGAAUCUCUUUUAAGUCUUUCAAUCGCACUUCUCCAUUGAGUCGCAUCUCUACCGUACAAAAAGGAGCCAAAAACUUCAAGAGCUAAAGGGAGUCCACCAGCAUAAUUUACAACAUGUUUAGAAAGCUCAAUGAAAUCAUCUUUCUGCACUGUAUCACUAUGAAAAGCUUUCAGACUGAAAAGUUGAAGCGCAUCUUUGGGAUUUAAUGUUGUGGGCUCAUACAUAUCAUCAACUGGCCAAGAUCGAAGCAAAUGUUCUUCUCUUGUUGUUACAACGAUUCUACUUCCUAAUCCGAACCAAUCGUGCCUUCCAACCAAGCAUUUUAAGUGUUGUAUGUUAUCAACAUUAUCAAGAACAACAAGAACCUUUUUGUGAGACAACCUAUGGCUAAUUAUGUCACUUCCUUCAUGAACAUCGAAAAAGUUGAAGCAUUCACCAUGAAAGAUCUGUGAAAGAAGUUGUUUCUGUAAAGAAACUACUCCGCAUUUGUCUGAAACUUUUCGAAUAUCAGCAAUAAAGCUUUUCCCUUCAAAAUGAGGUGGCAUUUGAGUGUAAGCAACUCUUGCGAGUGUCGUUUUACCGAUGCUACCCAUCCCGCAAAUUCCUAAAACGCGGACAUCAUCUUCCCCAAUGUUUAUUUUCAAAUACAAAUCCUCCAAGCGUUCACUAAUACCAACCAAGUCGCUAUGAGUAACUGGAUAUGUCUGACAUAGUUUUGCUGAUAUCUUCUUAACAAUGUCUCCAAUAAAUUCAGAUUCAUGCCUAAAAAAAGAAAUUUUAAUGUUUUGAGUGAUAUGUUUCGAAUGCACUUUCUUUUUCAAUGAAUCAUGAAACAUAAAAUAGUUUGGAAGAAAACAAGAACCAAGAAUAAGAAAGCAAGAUCUGUUGCCGAGCCAGAAGACAAAAUUUCUCUUUUAUUGAAACACUUUUCAAUUAAACACAUCGGAUUAGAAAAAAAGAAAAAAGUUAUACAUACAUACAUAUAUAUAUCCAAAAAACUAGAAAAUAGAGAAGAAAAGAAAGAACUACCUGUUAUUUAAAUGCCAUCCCUUGACUGCAGCCACUUGAAUUAAAGCAUUUCGCCACUUUUGGAUCUUCUCACUUUCUUCUUUGUAUCUCUCUUUAUGUCUGGCAAAGGCUUCUUCCACUUUCCCUUUUUGUUUUCUUAAAUCAGAUGGAUCAACAUCGUAAAAAAUUGGAAACACUUUAUGGCCGUCGUUGUUAUGUUGUUGAACAAUCUCAGCAAGCUCCUCCAAGCACCAACUUGAAAAGGCAUAAGUUUGUGAAAAUACGAUUACCGAGCACCAUGAUUGCUGAAUUGCUUUAAAGAGUUCUGGCGCGAUCUCUUCGCCGCCCUCCAGCUUUGGAUCAUCCCUGAAAGUGACGAUCCCACUCCUCUUUAGAGCAGCAUAGAGAUGAUCGGUGAAGUUUUUGCAAGUAUCUUCACCUCUAAAACUCAAGAAAACAUCAUAUUUCUUUCUAGAAAUGUAUGAGGAAGUUGAAGGUAAUGACAACAUGACGAUGUUUGAGAAGAAAAAUAUAUAUGUGGAUGUAGUGUUCAAAAUCAGAAAAAUUGAUCGCUCAACACGCCAGAAAGAAACUAGAAACAAUAAGUAUAUGAGAGUGAAGAUCGAGAAAAACAGGUGAAAAUUCCAGGGAAGAAUAAAGGACGUUUCUAAGCAAUUUCUCUGUAACCUUUGGAUUUUCGAAAUGAAUACGAGUAGGUGUGGACAUUGGGUAUUGCAUGUUCUUUCCAGGAAGAAUCCAAGAAGGUGGGUGUUGACAAAAUGGAGAUUACAAUAAUUCUAAGUAAUAAGUAAAGUGUUGGACGGUUUGUGUUUUACUUUCAUUUACAUAAUCAUAUAAUUGUCUAUAUAACUAUAUAUUAAAGGAGUAUUUGGAGACACCUGUCCAGGGAGGACAAUGUGUUAUUUUAAAUUCAGUCCCCCACAUUUUGCCUUUUAUAUGAUUAAGUUCUAUUUGAAGUAUUUAAAAUGUUCAUUAGGUGCAGACUAAAAUAACUUAUAUUUACUCACUAUCAUAACAUUUUAUGUAUGAAUACAAUUUAUUAAUUUAAUGUAUAGGAUUUUUUUUCUUUUACAUUAUAAGAAAAUGUUAGAAUUUCAAUUUUAAUUUUUUUAUUAUGCCUAAAUUUAAGAUUUAAUUUCUAACCUAAUUUAAUCAUAUAUUUUUAUAAUGUUAUUAGUUAGCAUAUAAUUAAUAUUGUUGACUUUUCUAUUAGUUAGAGCAUCAUAAAUAUGAUCCGUGAAGUUUUUGCGAGUAUCUUGUUAGAAAUGGAGGAAGAAGUUGAAGGUAACGACAACAUGAGGAUGUAUGAAAGGAGAAGGAUACCUCAAUCUGGUGUUCAAAAUCAGAACAUAGAUCGCCCAAUAUCCACAAAGAAACUAGAAAAAGUAAGUAUAUGAGCAUAGGGGUCAAAGAUGAGCGAUGGAUGUUGUUUCCAAGAAGGUGAUAGUUGGCAAAGUGGAGUCUACUUUAAUUACAAGUAAUAAUUAAAAAUGUUGGACGGUUUGUAUUUUACGUAUUUAAUAAUUAGCAAUGUUAAUGGAUUGAUGUUCUCAGCCAAUCUGUAGCAGUCAGUGGCUCUAAGGCAAUCAAUGCCGGUAGGGCAGGCCAAACACGCUAAAUUUAAGAUUUUUAGAUUGAAAAGUGAAGUAUGGUGGCUCUGUUAUGGCUGUUUCACUUAAAUCGAGUUCUUCUAAAAACUUCGCUUGCUGCAAAUUCUCUGGUAAAUUUUCAACUCUAUAAUAACCAGAAAGAUUAAGAGUUUUUAAACAUUUUAUUUUUCCCAUCGAUAUCUGGAAACCUUUGAAGAUUUGAGCAACACGAAAGAAUCAAUGUUUCAAGGGAUUUCACUUCAAUUCUGGUUGGAAGACUCCUAAGACUUUUGCAGUCUUUGAAAUUCAAAACUUUAAGCCUCUUAAGCACUCCCAAUGAUGGAUGGAUAUUUACAAUUUUAAAGUCUAGGGUAUUGAUCAGGUUUUGGGACCCUUGAAAGUUGAUCACUUUCAACUUAUAUAGGGGCUGUUGAAAACAAUACUUAAAAAGCAAUAAAAAAACAUAAAAAAAAAACCCUCAAUUUUGUUUUUAUAUUCUUAUCAUAAUCAAAUUUCAAUCAUUCAUCUUAAAAUAAGCUAAAACAAGGAUCAAUGAACUAAUUCUUACUCUAUUUCCCCUCCAUUGUUGUUCAAUGCGAGUGUGUGAAAAGAGAAAUGAAAGGGUCUCAUUUCCAAUCAAAAAAUUAACUAACGUUUAUGUAUAUAGUUCAUUGCUUUUAAAGUUUUGUUGUACAGGGAUCGGUGAUCGGCAUGGGAAUUACAUGCAAGAAGUAGAAGAGAAGAAGAACUGGACAAAACGCUGGAAAUAUCGAAUGUAUGUAUGUGUAUGUCUGUGUGUAUAUAUAUGCUACUAGCUCUAAGUUUCUCUUUAUCUUCUAUGUGUGUAUAUAUUGGUGUUUUUUGAUCUUAAAUUAUUUCUAUCAAGUUUUUUUUCCAUGUUGUCGCAGUAAAGAAGCUGUGAUUCCUAUAUGUUGCCGACGGUGCAGGGUGGCUGUGUGGUAGUGCCAGUGGGAAUCCCGUGUGGGAAAUAUGCUUGCCCAUCGAGGAAGGUGCAGUACGCAGCUCAUUAACAUGGUGUGGGAUCAUUAAAACAUAGUAUGUAUUGGAAGAGUUGUUGAAACCUUUUCCUUUUAUCUGUUUUAUGUUGGAUCAAUUUGAGAUAUAAUUAAUCACAUAAUUUGCAGGUUGUUGUUAAGAAUUAUUCUCAUCUUUUAUCUAUUGAUUCAGUCUUGUUUGAAUCGGAUU